UUUUUUUUUUUUUUUUUUUUGCCUAAGGUAGGAAGGGGAGGGGGGAAAUUUACACAGGAUAUCAUGGGGGUUUGAAUCCAAGACUACUUGAGCAUACCAAAGGUCCAGAACCUAUUCUAAACUUAACCCAUUUGAGCUAACUCAAGUUCUUAAUAUUAGACAUUUUUUAGCCUCCAUGAUUGUCUACUUUGGAUUAAAAAAAGAAAAACAAAUGGUGCCAAGAAUCAUCUCAUUAUAAGUCAAGCAAAUGCUUCAUUUUCUGUUAAAAAUAAUAAAUUUCUAUGACAUAGGAAAAUAUUUCAACAAAAAAAAAAAACAAAGAAACAGUCGCACAAAAUGAAAUGAACCAUAAGAAAGAAUGCUCAUUAAAAAAUAAAAAUAAAAACUUAAAAAUGGAAAGUGUUAUAGUAAUUGUGUCUUAAACUGGAUGUAAGAAGAGCACUGAAUCGUUGUUGAGACACUAAAAACGUUGUGUUUAGUUCCAUCAUAACAAUCCACGGCUGCCGCUAACUGGCGGACCCAAUUAAAGACAACUGUGGGUAGCUUCCCACACUUACCAAAAAACACUUCAGCCAUAUAAUCCCACUUCAAUUCAUAAUUUUUAAUUAUUUUUAGGCCCUUUCUAAGUAAAGCCCCCACAUAGCCCAUUCAAUACACACUUAAAGCCCAAAACUUAUAUUAAAAAAGAAAAAUCCUAAACUCUAUGUUAAAAAAGAAAAAUAGAGAUCCCACCAAGUUCACUCAUUCUGUAAUUUUGUGGAGAACUCAGCCACCAAACUCGUUAUUUGACAGAAGUCUACAGCCCAACAAAUCAAACUCACUACUUUAAUUGAUUUUACAAGUUAGCACUUAGUUAUUUUUUACAAACUAAUUUCAUUAUAUUCUUAUUUAUAUGCAUUCAAUUUGUAUUGAUGAUUGAUUUUAUUAUAUAUAUAUAUAUAUAUCUUGAUGAAAAAUAAUAUAAACUAUUUAUGAAAGUUAUGGAAAAAUAUUUUAAAAGAAAAUCCGAGUUGGAGUUGUCGGGACCUAUUGGGAGAAGUGAUGAUAGUUCAAAGCAAAGUUGCAUAGAAAUCAAUAUGUCAGAUCUUCAUUCUGAUCCUGGUUUACGAACUCGGAUUUUAGAUUACAAUCCGAACAUUCGAGAUGAAAUUAGAAGAGCUUACUUACAAAAAGGCCCUUGUCAGCCUAGAAAUCAUGAUUUCCCUCAAAAGAAAUUUGGAAAAGAGUCAAGACGAUUCAACCCAGCAUGGUUUGAUGAAUUCCCUUAUUGGUUGGAAUAUAGCAUCAAAGAAGAUGCUGUAUUUUGCUUAUGUUGUUAUCUUUUUAAAACAAAUUUGGGAGAGAAAGCUGGAAGUGACUCAUUUUUUGGUACAGGUUUUUCAAAUUGGAAGAAAAAGGAAAGAUUUCAAGUUCAUGUUGGAGGUCCCAAUAGUUCCCAUAACCAAGCUCUGAAAAAAUGUCAAGCCUUAAUGAAUGAAAAACAACAUAUUGAAAAUGUUUUCCAUAAGCACUCACAUCAAUCUCGAAUUGACUAUAGAAUCAGAUUGAAUGCAUCUGUUAAUUGUAUUAGAUUUCUUCUACAACAAGGUCUUGCCUUUCGUGGCCACGAUGAGUCUGAGGAUUCAAGCAACCAAGGUAAUUUUCUUGAGCUUUUGCAAUUUCUUGUUGAUCACAAUGAGGAAUUUAGAACUGUUGCUUUGAAAAAUGCUCCUGAAAACCUUAAAGUAACUUUACCUAAGAUUCAGAAAGACAUUGUAAAUGUUGUAGCAGUUGAAACUACUGAUGCUAUUAUUAGAGAUAUGGAUGAUGCAUUCUUUUCUAUUUUAGUUGAUGAAUCUCGUGAUGUAUCAGUAAAAGAGCAGAUGAUUGUUAUGUUUCGUUAUGCAGACAAGAAAGGAUCUGUGAUUGAACAGUUCAUAGGUAUUGAACAUGUUACAAAUACCACAGCUGAGUCACUUAAAGCAAGUAUUGAUGCAUUAUUUUCUAGACAUAAAUUGAGUAUAUGCAGAUUACGAGGUCAAGGUUAUAAUGGGGCUAGUAAUAUGAGUGGAAAGUUCAAUGGUCUGAAGACACUUAUUAUGAGGGAGAAUGAGUCUGCUUACUAUGUUCACUGUUUUGCACAUCAACUUCAGUUGGCUAUUGUGGGUUUGGAAAACCUUAGUUUUAAACCCAGAUUUCUUCUUCCUCUCGAGAAUGUUUCGAACAACCAUUUUCAGACAACCAUUUCUCCUCUGUCUGGCCACCAAAUCGAGUGCCACAACUUGCAAACUCUUCACCUCUCUCUCCUCUUCCCAUACAUACUCAUAUCCAGCCUUGAUUCCAAGCGAAUCAACCAGAAAAUCGAGCCAAAAUUGAGCCCAAAAAGGGGCAGCUUCGAACCCAGAAAGUUCGAGGUAUUUUCCGACAGAUUCCAGCCGCCAUAGCUCAGGUAAUUGCACCCAAACUACUCUCCUACCUUCCCUUUGUGUUAUUCCUUCAAAACACAACGUGAAUCCAUUCCAAUUUCUUUGAUUUUGAAACUAAAUUUUUUUAGAUUUUUUAAGAGACAGAAAGCUUCGUUCGAGAGCUUUAAAGUUUGAAUUGAUCGUCGAGCUAAGGUAUAAAGUUACUCCCCUUGAUGUGCUUAAUCCGUAGGUGUGAUUAUUGGCUGGCGGUUUGGAGUUUUUCGAUAGCCGAAAAAUUGCUCAAUGCACCCACUAGCGGUGGCAGCGCGUGGCAGCGCGUCACCGGGGUGUCAAUGUUAGGUUUUUAUCCUAGAAUGAUCCUCGUGUUGUCACGAGCGCAUAGGAAUUCGCUGAUCUUAAUUUGGAUAACGUUUGAAUCCCGAACGGAUCUCGCAUCUUGUGUGAUUUUCGGGUUCAAUGGUUUUGAACCAUUGAUCGUGCGAUUGUGACCAAACCAACCGUCCAUUUCAGACCAGACUCAUGGGACUUGUGUCCUAGGUUUAAAGGAACGUUAAUGUGGGCAUAGGAGUAACUUUAAUUGGAUGCAUGCACUUCUAGGAGCUAGGAUUUUAUUUAAAUAUUUAUAUCGAGCAGUUUUAUUAAUAUAUAUAUUAUUAUGGUAAUUGAAUCAGGCAUUCGAGCACCAGUUGACCCGCAGAAAGGACCUCCAAAAGGUCCAGCGAGCUCAGACCAGCUGUGAGUGGACUCUUUAUUUUCAUAAAUGAAUUUAUGCUAUUGAGUUACAGUAUUUGAUCUUGAAUCAGUUUUAUUCAAAGAUUAGUGUUUUAUUAGUUGAUGUAUGCUUUUAAAUGUUUUGAAUUCACAUGCGACCGAGUGAGAUAUCUUUUAUGGAUAUAGGAAAAGGAAAUUUUAGCUAAAUAACAAAUAAAUGGCAGCAAAGUUCUAGAUUUAACAGAAAUUCAGUUAUUUAUCAUAUUUUUCAAAGAUUUUAGAUUUUCUUAAGCCACCUUAGGUACCCAGUUAUAGAAACAGGUUGCCUUCGGAUAUGACGAUGUCCACGGACAUCCAGGUUGCCUUCAGUUUUGUCAGCGUGCUUGACAUCUGCCUCACGAGUUUCGGGGACGCCGGAAUCGUGGGAGCCAAGACUGCGGAUCAGGCUUACUACGGUCCCCUCAAUUCUGCCAGUUUGCGGCUCGGGUUGACUUUGUGUCACCGAAACCUGCUAGGAAAAUUGACAGAUUAUCAGGAAUUGACAGAAUUAAAGGGGUACACCUAGGUGGUAGUUUUAAACUGAUUUCAAUGCUUUUAAGAGUUUAAAGAUGAUUAUGAGUAUGAUUGAUUUAUAUUUAUAUAUAUAUGGGUGCAUUGAUUUCAGUAUGUAUAUGAUUAAAAGGAUGAAUUAGUUUUGUGUAACUGUUUUUACAGUGGGGUUAGUAUGUUCUUAUGCUAUUUUUCUUAAAACUUUGUUUUUGGGUCCACUCACCUUUUAAAUGUUUAGCGCCCCCAGGCCGUAGACGUGCAUCUGAAAGUCACCACAGGGCAGUUUCCGCUUCCUGCAUCUCUUCAGCCUAUUGUAGGGUCCUUAACCCUCCAAAUGUUCUUCUUGUAAAUUAAUCUGUAUAGAUGCUUUGAUAUUGCCCCUGGGCUCGAACCUUACUGUUGAUUGUAUAUAUAUACGCAUGCCGGAAGUUGGGUUGUGUAUAUAUGCUUGAAAGGACCCGCCCCGAAUUUUCUCAAAACCCGAGACGAACCCUUUGGAAUUCCUGACAUCACUCCGAUACCAGACCCACUUACUAAAAACCGAGACUCCCUGCCGAAAUUUCGGCAGAGUCUCCCCUAUAAAUUGGACAUUUUUCAAAAUUUCAACCUGCAUAAAAACGCAUUUAAUAUCCACAACUGGCAGCAUGCACAAUAUAAUUUCAUGCAGUUCACAUAAAUUGGCCUUCGGCCUUCCAAAAAUUCUCAACACACUACCAAACAAUCCAAAUACAAUUUAUGACUAACAUUUAGUCUGCGGCUGUACCUAAUAACCUUAGGCUGCCUACGUACCCUCCUUGAGGGAUCAAGCCACACGUAGUUCUUCCCAAAACCCAAUUCCACAUUUGGGCGAUACCUUAUUUCAUUUCUCUGUAUUUCAAAUAAUCUCCCCAUACGCCGGUACAACCAACGCCACGUAUGGGGCCUGUCAACACGCCGGAUAACCUACGCCACGUGCGACCAUGCCAUACUAUCAUAAUAUCUCCCCAUACGCCGGUACAACCAACGUCACGUAUGGGGUCUGUCUCAACGCCGGAUAACCUACGCCACGUGAGACCUGCACAUCAUAUCACAUAUCUCCCCAUACGCCGGUACAACCAACGCCACGUAUGGGGCCUGUCCCAACGCCGGAUAACCUACGCCACGCGGGACCUCAAUUUCAUAUCACAAAUCUCCCCAUACGCCGGUACAACCAAUGCCACGUAUGGGGUCUGUCGACACACCGGAUAACCUACGCCACGUGCGACCUCAACACAAUAUCACAAUAUCUCCCCAUACGCCGGUACAACCAACGCCACGUAUGGGGCCUGUCUCAACGCUGGAUAACCUACGCCACGUGAGACCUGAAUAUCAUAUUACAAAUCUCCCCAUACACCGGUACAACCAACGCCACGUAUGGGGCCUGUCCCAACGCCGGAUAACCUACGCCACGUGGGACCUAACUUUCACUUGGUGGUGCUUGUAGUGAAUCCAAAAUUCGGGGAGGUACCUAAAGUAGUGCGUAUAGCACUCCAAACUGACAUUCUAGACUCUGUUGUACCCUUGUACAACCAUAUAUAAUUAUAUAAAUAAUUCUAAUAUUGUGUAACCCUCCACAAUAGUUUAGCUCCCGAUACUCCCCCCUGGAAGGGUGAGAUUACUCCGGGAGACUCACGGUCAAUUAAGGGUCAAACUACUCUAACCCUGGUCAAACGGACCUGCAGAACCCACGACCUCCAAUUUCCGAACCGAAAGGGCUCGUUUGGUACACAGGACUGUCUUGGCAUGGACUAUGUUUAGGGACUGGUUUGGCUUGGCUUGGCUUGGUCUAAGUUGGAUAACACUUAUCCUGCGUUUGGUGUAUGCUGGGACUAGGACUAGAAUUUUUUUUAUUUUUUCAAAAAUAUCUAUAUAUAUAUGUAUAUAUGUAUUUUAUAAUAUAUAUAAUAUAUAUGUAUAUAUUCAUACAUAUAAUAUAUAUAUAUGUAUAUAUACAAGUAUAUAAGUAUAUUAUAAUAAUAUUAUAUAUUUUAAAUAAUAUAAACGUACAUACAUAUAUAUAAGUGUAUAUAGGUGUAUAUAUGUAUAUUAUAAUAUACAUGGGUAUAAUACAUAUACAUAUAUUUAUAUAUAUGUAUGUAUAAUAUAAUAUAUAAUAUAUAUGGGUAUGUUAUAAUAAUAAUAAUAAUAUACAUGUAUAUACGUGUAUAUAUGUAUAUUAUAUAUGUAUGUAUAUAUACAUAUACAUUAUAUAUAUUAUAAAAUACAUAUGUAUAUAUAUACAUUAUAUAUAUAUAUUAUAAAAUACAUAUAUAUAUAUAAUAUAUGUAUAUAUAUUAUAUAUUAUAAUAUACAUAUAUAUACGUAUAUACAUGUAUAUAAUAUAUGUGUAUAUAGGCGUAUCUAUAUAUUAUAAUACAUACAUGGGUAUAAUACAUAUACAUAUAUAUAUGUAUAUUAUAAUAGAUAAUAUAUAUGGGUAUGUUAUAAUAAUAAUAUACAUGUAUAUAUGUAUAUUAUAAUAUAUAUACAUAUAGUAUAAAUAUAUAAUGUAUAUGUGUAUAUACGUGUGUAUAUGUAUAUUAUAAUACAUACAUGGGUAUAAUAUAUAUACACAUAUAUGUAUAUAUACUUAUAUAUAUUACAUAUAUACAUGUAUGCUAUUAUUAUAAUAUUAAUAUGUAUGUGUAUAUGAGUAUGUUAUAAUAAUAAUAUACGUGUAUAUAUCUAUAUGUAUUUAUAUAUUAUAUAUGUAUAUAUGUGUUUAUAUAUAUUAAUGUACAUAUACAUAUAUACAUGUAUACAUGUAUGUAUUAUUGUAAUAUUAAUAUGUAUGUGUAUAUGAGUAUAUUAUAAUAAUAAUAUAUGUGUAUAUAUCUAUAUGUAUUUAUAUAUAUAUUAUAUAUGUAUAUAUGUGUUUAUAUAUAUAUACAUGUAUAUGUGUAUAUACAUGUAUAUAUGUACAUUAUAGUAUAUGUGUAUGUAAUAAUAAUAAUAAUAAUAAUAAUAAUAAUAAUAAUAAUAAUAAUAAUAAUAAUAAUAAUAAUAUAUGUUAUUAGUAUUACAAUAUAAUAUAUGCAUCUUAUACAUUGGUGAACAUAGGACUAGUUAAUCCUCCCUUUCUACAUGGGUUUAGUAGUCCCCUCCUAAUGAGGUAUUUUUGGUGGGCCCGGUAUUAGCAAUCUCAUCUAAGACUAGAAUUUAAUGAAACAAACAUGGUACUAAAUUUAGUCCAAGCCAAGCCUGUGUACCAAACGACCCCUAUGGGUUCUACCAGGUAUAGGACACUUGUCCUGCAAGUUUGGUUCACAUUGGACGGUCGGAUUUCUCACGAUCGCACGAUCUGACAAUUAAUAUAAAAUAUAAACUGUAAAAUUACUAUUCGGAACAUCCGGGGCUCCGAUUCACAAUCCGUGAAUUCCUACACGAUCCUAGAAUUACCUAGAUUAACAUAUAUUAAAUUUGGGACCAUCCAACGGUCCCAACCUAUCGAACCUAGAUAACGCACAAUAUGCGAUUAUCCGUUCGAUAGUCAAACAACGUCCGAAUUGAGAUCCGUGAAAUCCUACACACUCGUGACAACCUAAGGAUCUCAUCGGAACACAGUGCUACUUUUUCCACCAUGCCCACGCGCCGCCGCACGCGCCGGCAGCGCGUGGUGCCCAAAGCGAUAACGCUUCGCCGGAAGAUCUCAAAACCACGGCUCCAAACUCCUACCCUAGGUAUAACACCCUAUUUGGAGCCACUUUUGUUCUUGAACCUACCCCAAAAAGUGGCCGGAAAUGGCCGAUCACGGCAGCCGAAGUUCGGCCGAUUUUCAAUUCGAAAAUCGAAUUGGUUACGCUAAGAAUCGAUCUAAUCCUACCCAACCAUCAGCUAGAGCAUGCAGAAGGGAUGAAUUUCCAUACCUUGAUCGCCAGAAAUGCCGGCCGGAGAGGGAGAUCGGCGGCCAUGAAGAUCGGCGACAUCCAGGCAAAAUCGCCAUUUUUCGGCGACUGAGCGCGGCCGAUGUCGUCGGGGNNNNNNNNNNNNNNNNNNNNNNNNNNNNNNNNNNNNNNNNNNNNNNNNNNNNNNNNNNNNNNNNNNNNNNNNNNNNNNNNNNNNNNNNNNNNNNNNNNNNNNNNNNNNNNNNNNNNNNNNNNNAGAGAGAGAGAGAGAGAGAGAGAGAGAGAGAGAGAGAAAACCCAGAUUUUUAUAAAAAUCCCAUUUCAAAAUAUUUACGAUUGUGCCACUGGAUUUCUUUUGACCAUAUCUCUCUCGUUACAACUCCGAUUCGAGCCCACUACGUGUCUAUGAACUCGUCUCAGUACGACCUAUCCAAAAAUAUAAGUCACGGUCCCAAACUCUCUCUGGUUAAAAAUAUGACUAAAAUAUCCUUAAAUAAUUAAAUAAUUAAAUAAGGGUUAAAUUUGGGGAAAUUUGGGGUCGGGGUGUUACAAUGCUUGUUUUGACAGGUGUGAUUUUGGGAUUGAACAAUUUACAGGGGAGACUCUGCCGAAUUUUCGGUGGAAGUCAAGGCAAAAAUGAAAGUAAGUUUGUAACUAGAAGGGCAACUAGGUCAUUUGUGCUUGGCACCAGCCAUGUGUCGAUCACGAACAAGGUUCGGCUCGAAUUCCAACAGGGAAUUUGGGUAGGGUCCUGUCAAUAAAAAUAUAGGUAUAUUAUUGACCAAAAAAAUUAACAAAAAUAGGUCAAUUACUUUGUAAUUGAAAUUUUCAUACAUUUUUCAUAAAUUAAACAUAGGUACACAAUAAUUUAUAGAAAAUAGGUACGUUGUAUAACUGAAAUUCAUGCACAUUUUUUAUAAAUUGAAAAUAGGUACAUUAUUUAGAAGAAAAAAAUAAGUUCAUUAUACUAGGUAUACAUUAUUAGAGAAAAAAAAAGGUACAUUAUUCAGAGAAAAAAAUAGGUUCAUUAUACUAGGUAAAUUGUUUUACUAGGUACAUUAUUAGAGAAAAAAAAUAGGUAUAUUAUUUUGAGAGAAAAAAUAGGUACGUUAUUUUGAGAGAAAAAUAGGUACAUUAUUUUGAGAGAAAAAAUAGGUACAUUAUUUAGAAAAAAAUAAGUACAUUUUUAGAGGGAAAAAAAAAGGUUCAUUAUACUAGGUAAAUUGUUUUACUAGGUACAUUAUUAGAGAAAAAAAAAUAGGUACAUUAUUUUGAGAGAAAAAAUAGGCUCAUUUAAAAAAAAUUGAUUUCAUAAAACAAACAAUAAAAAGAUGAUCAAAUUAUUUUUCAUAAAACAAGUAAUAAAGAAAAAAAUAGGUACAAUAUUUGGAGAAAAAAUAGGUUCAUUAAAAAAAAUGUUUUAAAAACAAAACAAUCAAUAGAUUAUGAAAUUAUUUUUCAACAUAAUUAGAAUGUACACUAUUAUUUAUAAAACUAUAAUAACAAAGAAUAUUGGUUGUACAACUCAUAAAAAGAAAACAACAUUAAUUCUUAAAUUUAAUAUUGAAUUUAUAUUAUUAAUACUUUAAAUAGAUUACUAGUCGUAAUUCAUAGAAGGAAAACACCAUUAAUUCAAAAAUAGAUUACUAGUCGUAAAAUAGAUUACUAAUACUUUAAUGUGUAAUUUAAUAUUUAAUUUCAAAUAAGUGUCUAAAUUAGUUCUUAUAUCCAUUACAACUAUUUAGAGAUAUUUUCAAAUUCAACGGAUGUCAUUAGUUACACUUCCCAUAACACAUUAACUUAUAAAUAGGGGUAGUUUUGGAAUCAGAAAACUACAAUAAAUCAGAUUUUAAGUCAUAUUAGGUAACUUGCUUGGUUGGAUCCUAGUCAUUAGGUAUUAUUUGAAAAAAUUGGGUAUUUUAAAUAGAAAACUAAAGGAAAAGGUUGUAAGUGAUUUAAAAUGAAUUUUAUGGGUCUAAGCUCAAUUUACUAUUAAUUUUAUUAUGUAGUUCGUAUGACCUUAUUAAGAAAAAGAACUAAAGGAUUAUACUUCUCCAUAAGUGAUCGUAAGAGGAUUGCAUCAUGGACACUGUUGGAGUUAUUUGUGUGGACACCGAAGGACAAAUACCUUCUGGUGCCUUAAGUGGGGGUAUUGCACUGAAGGUGACUGAUACUUCUAAUAAUUUGCACUCGUUUGUUUGUCGUCUGUUUGUAGUGACUAAUAACCUAACAGGUUUUUGUUUUAAAAAAAAUAUAAUAAUAAUUCAGGUUAGUGGGCGAGUGGGAUUAGCAGCAAUGCAUGGUUCAGGCUGUUGGGCAUCCUCCAAAGGUUUUUUUGUGGCGCCAUGUAUAGUUGGCUGUUGUGUAAGUGGUGCUGGAGAAUAUCUAAUGAAAGGAUUUGCAGCUCGGGAGUGCUGCGUCUCUUUGUCACUGUAUGUUUGUCGUAUUACUAUAUAACAAUUUUUUUUAAAUUUUCCUUGACUUGAAGAUAGCUUCUCUGUCUCUCUCUCGGACACACACACUCACACACACCAAGAAGCCAGCUUUAUUGCAUAUUGGACCUGCCAAAGUUGGAGUGGUCAUGAUUUUUCAAAGUCAUAAUUAGCACCCUAUAAAAGAAAGGUAUUAUUAGCACUGUAGAAUAUCAGCUGGGAUGAUCUACAACGUCUAUGAGUUUUUUAGUUUAUAUACCAUGUCUAUUCUUGUCCAGAUGAAGCCAGUAUGUAAACUUGACUUUCAUAUCCAUUGCUUAGUUCACAGGCAGGUCCUGCCUCUGCUUGCAUGAAAGUUUUGCGCUCGGUUGUUCAAGAGAGUAAUCACAAUUGUACUGAUAGAAGUGCUGGAAUUCUACUUGUGCAAGCUGAUGAUCCCACAACAGUGAGUUCCAAGCUAGAACCUUUUGUGUUAGUUGUCAGAAAGAAUUAGUUGUCUGAAACAAAUUUUUUUUUUAUAAAUUUUUUGUACAGGAAUGUUUGUCUGAAAGAAUUGUAUAUUUAUAUGUUGCUUUUUAGGUUUCAGGAAGUUCUCCAAAGUUGAAAGCCAUAGAGAUUGCAGCUGCUUUCUCUUCCUUAUCCUUUGGAGUAGGAUACUUUGGAAGCUCUAUGGAGCGGCCCAAGGUAAUUAUCUGAGUCUGUUUGAUCUUUUUAUUGCUAUCUUUUUCUUCUAUUUGUUAUAAAUAUUUUGGGCCUUGUUGAUCUUUCAGGACUUCAAAGAUCUCAUUUUGUGAUUAUUCUUGUAGAGUGCUGCUAAACAAAUCCUAAAAUUAACUGAGUACACCCUAUUAUAAAAGUAUAUAUUGAAUUACUGAUUUACCCUAAUAUAAAAUGACCAAAAAGGAUAUAUGGAAUUGUGAAACAAAUAUAAUUUUAAUAAGUACACCAUACUAACCAUAUUCAACCCUAAUCAAGAGAUUGCUUGUCCUAUUGUGUUUUUAAUGAAAGAUGUGGUGAUUGCAAGAAAUUGGAAUUGCAAAAAAGUGUCAACAGUUUUAGUAGAAGCAUAAAUCCAUAUGAAAAGUCAAAGAUUUAUAAACAUUAUUAAAAAAAUCAAGCUGAAAAUCAACUAUAAAAUAAUGCUACAAGUAUUAGGGUGUAUCAUAGGUUUUUUUGAUAGUUUUAUAGGGUGUACUUAGUUAAUUUUACAUUUUAAUUAAAAUAUUAGGGUGUACUUAGAUCAUAGGAUGUACUCAGUUAAUUUUAGGGUUCGUUUAGCAGUACUCUUCUUGUAUUGUUUAUGUUUCACAUCAAAUUCUAUUUAGAGGCAUCGCACCAAUUGUUUCUGUUUGUUCCAGUGAAUGUGUAUGGUAAUGAAAGUCCGGGUGAUUAUAUUGUUAUUUGGCAACUUUAAAACUAAAUGCUUCAUCUUCUGCCUCGUACUGUCAAUAUCUAUUUGAUUUCUAACAAGAAUGUUGAAUCUGUAGUGAAUUUGUGGACUAAAUUGUUCCACCUUUCAAGUUUCAAUUCUUAGGACUACAAAAUUGCAAAAAAAAAAAAAAAAAAAAACUGGAGUGGACCAUUUCAAAGCGCGAAUUGAUUGCAAUCUUGUUUGUUUAAUAUUCUGGAUUUGGCUGCUUAUGCUUUGACGUAGAAGAUCAUGUCUGUCAAUUGGCUACUCUUCUCCUUGUCGAAGUACAUCUGGAUGUGUUAAAUUAAGUGUGCUUCUGAUCUGUUAGCUGUUGUUGCUGGUACUGGAGUAAUUGGUGAAGCAAUCUGGCAGAUCUCCUCAUAGCAGACAUCUCCAACCAGCCGAUAACCUCGAGGGCACUUUUCAUCCUGUCAAAAAAUACACACAUCAUGAAUGAGAUACAAUCAUCAUGGCAUGACCAAAUAAUCAAAUUUCAUAUUUCAGGAACGAUAUUCCAAAUGUAUCUGAUAACCUAGUCAGUGCAUUUCUGUUAACAAAGCAUGAGGGAAAUCAGCCCAAAACAUUAGGGACUGACCUUAAGAUAUGAUGAAUUUCCUAAGCAUCAAAUUGAAAGGCAACAUCAACAUUGCAUGACCAAAUCAUCAAAAUUUUUUAACAAUGAUAUUUCAACAUAUCUACUAACAAAAUCUAUGCUUCAUUUCCUAUUCACAAAUAUAUCUGAGUCUGACAACCAAAUCAUCAUCAUCAUGAGAGAGAGAGAGAGAGAGAGAGAGAGAGAGAGAGAGAGAGAGAGAUUAUGAUAUCGCCUUGUCUUGUGAUCUCCUCAGGAUUCUUGGUUCAAGAAUGGACUAUACUGUUGGAAGCAUCUUCCCUUUACCAACAUUCAGAAAUCGGCUUGUCUUGUGAUCUCAGGAUUCUUGGUUCAAGAAUGGACUAUCCUGUUUGUAGUAUCUUCCCCCUACCAACAUUCAAAAAUUAAGUUUAAUUCAUGAAGUAGGAUACCAAACGGGCCCUAAGUAACUUAUUACUGAGGUAAACGAAAAUCACCUGCAGCAAUAAAGCAGCUGGCAUCCCAACAAGCAGGCAUAAUCCUUAAUAGUUUUUCGUAGUUGAGUUGAGUACUAUCACGCAUGUGUGACGAACAAACUAAGUAACUACCUUGCAAAGCAACCCACCCCCAAAUCAUGCUGCCUGUGUGAACAAACAAACUUUGUACAACCAGCUUGAAUUGCCUCGACACGACGCAGCCACUACUUUGACUCUUUCUCGCUGGUAACGUACACAUGAAAACUAUUAGAUUGUUUAGUCAUAAAUCAUGGGAGAACUACCGUAAUUCUAAUAAUUUUGCACAUUCAUAUACAUUACAUGGUCAUGAAAGUGAUACAGAUCUCUGCAUGCAUACAUCUAGCAUGACAAAUGGCAAGACAUCAUAAUGAUCCAUAGAUCAUCUUUUAGUGACUAUUGCAAGAUAUGCCUUCAAAACAUUAGAAUAACUUGUUAUUUAUGUUCUUCUCAUUGUAACAUAAUUUCACAAAAGGGAAAGCAAAAUUCAAAUUUACAAGCAUACACAAUGCUAAAAUAUGAAUAUGGUUUGAAUGUAUAGAAAUUUAGUUAUAUACCCAAUCUUAGACAUGGUUUUAUAAAGAAACCCUACACCGUUUAAAAACUAUAAACACACCCAAAAACAAUUCAAAAAUUGACAGCUAUCAAUUUUUUUUAAUUUAAUAGUUGUUUUUUAGUUUAUUUGUAUGUGUUAAAUACCUAUAUUGUCCUUGUACUAUGGAUUUAAGAUAGGAAAAUCAGAUCUGCCAUAAAACCAAAUAUUUCCAUGUCUGCCAAAAAACCAAAUCUGCCAAAAAAACCAAAUCUGCCAAAAAAUCAAAUCAGAUUUAUUUUCUCCUUUCUCGCUGGUGUUUUCUCUGGUGUUGGAGCAAGAGGAGCUUCCAUUGAAGCUCAGUCUCAGGUCCAACUAUAUUAUUCAUCUUUAAUCUACAAUUUUCAAUAUUUCACCUUCAAUUUCUUGUUCUAAAAUCGUGCUUCUAUUGAUUUUUUCUUUUUUUCGGAUUGUUCAAGACCUUGAACAAACCUCGAUCAGAUGCUUUUAGCUCUACUCCUCAUCUUCGAGCUCUACUCCUCUUUCGCCACAUCGUUGUCGUUGUUAUCGUCGUCAUCGUCGUCGUCGUCGUCGUCGUUUGGUUUGUACUUGAGAUUUUUGAUCUUUUGCUUCAAUUAUGUGUUUCUCUUCGGAUUUUAGUUGAUUUUCGAAAUGUAUUUGAAGCUUUGAUGAUCGAUUCAACUUUUGUUACUAUUUCAGUUAUGAAUCUCAUUUUUGUUUAACAAUGUACUUCUGUGAUAGGGUAUUAACAAUGUACUUCUAUGACAGAGUAUUAACAAUAUACUUCUAUGACAUAAUAGUAUUAACAAUCUGGGCUCAGCUUGUUUUGAGUUGGUUUGGUUUGUUCUUUCUUCAUCUUUUCUUUGGUGGACAUGUAUUAGAAAUAGCAACAUGAUAAACAUUAAUCAACAUGACAGUAAACUAGCAGUGUUAUUACCCUAGACUAGAACAUUACAGGGGUAAACAUGCAUUAGAAAUAUGAUGUCAUAGGAAAUAGCAGUGUUAUUACCCUAGACUAGAACAUUACAGGGGUAGAUAUGCAUUAGAAAUAGAAUAUCAUAGGAAACGAGCAGUGUUAUUACCCUAGACUGGAACAUUACAAGAGUAAACAUGCAUUAGAGAUAGGAUGUCAUAUGAAACUAGUAUUGUUAUUACCCUAAACUAGAACAUUACAACCAUUAAUCAGCAUGACAAUAAACUAGCAAUGUUAUUACCCUAGAUUGGAACAUCAGCCAUUAAUCAACAUGACAAUAAAAUAGCAAUGUUAUUACCUUAGACUGAAACAUUACAUGGGCAGACAUGCAUUAGAAAUAGGAUAUCAUAGGAAACUAGCAGUGUUAUUACCCUACACUGGAACAGUACAGGGAUAAACAUGCAUUAGAAAUAGGAUGUUAUAGGAAAUUAGCAGUGUUAUUACUCUACACUGGAACAUUAUAGUCAUUAAUCAACAUGACAUAGCAGUGUUAUUACCCUAAACUGGAACAUUACAACAAUUAAUCAACAUGACAAUAAAGGUGUAGAACAUUACAAUGAUUAAUUAACAUGACACGUUAAUGAAACUACGGUUUUCAAGACCUUUUGUUUGUAAUGAAUUGUUUGAGUUUUUUUAUAAAAUUGGGCUGGGCUUGUUUUGGGUGCUAUUUAAGUUUUUUGUGUUGGUCUUCUUUUUUAAAUUGAUCAAAGGCAGUCAUGUAAUUUAUAAGAACUUAAACACUAAUUUUUUAUGUAGUAAAUGAGUUUUGGGUGUGUUUCUAAAGUGCAAUCCAUGUGAGAUUUUUUAUAAUUUCAGCCCUUAUUUUGGGUAUAUUAGUGAAGCUCCCUUGAAUGUAUUAGGUUUAAUUUAUUCUUCUCCAUAAGGAGGUAUUAAGAGUUUACAUAUGGGCUUUAUAAGGAAUUAGAUACAGUAAAGAAAUAUGAAAGUAUCUCCUAAUUGUACAAUGAUUUAUCAAUUAUAUAAAAAAAUAGGAAAGUAAAUCCCUUAAUUAAUCAAGGAAAUAAAUCUCCUUGAUUAAUUAGGAGACUCACGUCAACACUCUUCCUCAAGUUGGUGCAUAUAUGUUACCAAUGCCCAACUUGGUAAGUGAGUCAUGAAAUACUCUGCUAAAUGUAACACCCUGACUCCAAAUUUAAUUUCUAUUUUAAAUUAUUUAAGUGAAUUUACGAAUUUACCCUUAGGGUAGGGGUAAAUUGGUCAUUUUCUUGUCCGAAAAGUGUUUGGGGCAGUGACUGGAAUUUUUAGGUAGGUGGUACUGAGACGAAUUUGUAGACACGCGGUAGGCUUGAAUCGGAGUUGUAACGAAAAAGUUACGGGCAAAACACUAUUAGUGGCAAAACUGUAAAUAUUUCAAAAAGGGUUAGAGUAAAAAUCAGAUUUUUCCAGUUUUACCUCACUCUCUCUCUUUCUCCCCAUUCUCUCUCUCUCCCGCGUCGUCCCUCCUCCUCCUUCGACUGCAAAACGCACGGCCACCGUCACAGGCCACGGCCAGCCUCAAGACCGGACCCAAAACAUCCGGCCAGAUCUCGCCGACGUUCCCCGACCCACCUCCAGCCGUCAGCUGCAGCCACGUUGUCGGAAAAUACGAAUUUCAGGCCGGUUUUCGUCUGAAAUUCCAGUCACUCGUUCUCUCUCCUCCGACCACUAUUUCAGACGGGUGAGGUAUGGUUUCUCAUCCAUUUUUCAAGUCCUAGCUGACUGUUGUAUAAGUUUGGACCGAUUCGUUGUCUAGGAAAUCGAUUAAAAAAUCUAGGUUUUGGCCGGAUUUCAAAAUGAAAUUCCGGCCAGUUGCCGCCCGAAUUGGACCUUCCCGUAAUUGAAGGAAGUGAUCCUGACCCCGAGUAGGAGCUAGGGUAGGAAUGGUGAGCUCGAGUGUGGAGUUUUUUCGUUCCCGGGAUUACUCUACACACCCACGAGCUGCCGGCGAGUGUGGCGGCACAUGGGCGAGGCUGGUGAGGGUGUAAAUUAACCCGAUGAGAUCCUUAGGUUGUCACGAGCACGUAGGAUUUUACGGAUCUCAAUUCGGACAUCGUUUGACUAUCGAACGGAUUUUCGCAUAUUGUGCGUUAUCCGGGUUCGAUAGGUUCUGACCAUUGGAUCGUUUCCUAAUUAAAAUAUGUUGUUCUAGGUAUUCCUAGGAACGUAUAGAAAUUCACGGAUCGUGAAUCGGAACCCCGGAUGUUCCGAUUCAAUAACUUUAAGUUUGCGUUUUAUAAUAACAGUCCAAUUGUCCGAUUGUAAGCGAUCUAACCGUCCGUUUCGAACUACACUUGCGAUACGGGUAUCUUAGACCUUGUGAAACCUUUAGGGACUUUCGGAUUGUAAAACGGAGGUCGUGGGUCCCGUGGGCCCGGUUGACCCAAAUUGGGAAGUUUGACCGCUGGUUGACCGAGUGUCUCCCGAAGUUGUUCCAUCGUCCAAAUCGGGUAGUUGGACCUUAGAACGUCUCGUUCCUAGUACACUUACUAGAAACCUGGGAAAUUAGAAUAUUUAAUUCAAAGUACUUAUUCGAAACGCUUUGUAUUAAUCUCGUAUACGUAUUCUGAAUUAGGUACUCCGACCACGCAUACGCAGCAGGCGGGACCCUCUCAGGGUCAAGCAGCGUGGGACUACUUGUGAGUGGACUUUGUUUUCAAAUCUUAUGCAUGGUUUUAUUGAUGAAAGAUUUGUGCAUAAUGUUUUUAAUGAUUUAUUGAAUAUAUUAUAUUCAUGAGUUGAAUUUGAUGUUUGUAUAGUGCUUUGGCAUAGUUGGGUAUUGAAAGUAUAUUUUAUAUGGAUUUUGGGAAAUAUUAUGCAUGAUAUUUUAAAUGGUAUUUUGAAUAUAUUAUUUAUGAAAUUGUUGAAAGUGAUAUUUUUAUGAGGUAUUGGAAAUAUAUUUUGGAUUUUGACAUAUUUGAGUAUCUUGAGUACGAAUAUUUGGAUUUUGAGAAUUUCUAUAUAUAUUUGGCUAUGUGUGAGGUACUUGGGUUGUUGAGAUGAGAUUGUGGAAAGUGGUGAGUAUAGAAUGUCAGUUUGGAGUGCUAUAAGCACUACCCUAUAUACCUCCCUGGAUGUGGAACUUGGAUACGGAGACUUGAGAUACUUGGAAUUGUCGGAACUCGGGGCAUCCUUGACGGGAUGUUGCUGUAGACCCUUGAUUGGGUAGUCUGCGCGCGUAGGACUGAUGACAGACGUACGGGUUUUGAGGUUAUCGACGGUACGUGCUGGCUGAGAGUUGGUCCCCCGGACGGCUCGUUCCCUAGUCACAUGGUGGAUUAAGGACUCUUCAUGAGGACUCAGCCAGGAUGACUAGUCAAACAAUCCCCCGGUUGGAUUGUUUUCCCGGUACUGUUCACCCGUUUUCGUGUUUACUCCUUAGGUGGAAGGGCUAAGUUCCCCACUGGCUUGGAGACCAUUUGUUGGUCGACAAGUCAGCUUUCUUUGGUGUGUGAGCGUGUCACUGCUAGCAAUGUAAAUUCUAGCAGACUUCUUUUAGAGUGGAUAACUUGCGCCCCAAGUUACUGACUUCUAAAACAGAUGAUUGUGAAUUUAGGUGAGGAAUAUCUCCCAAGUAAGUUCUUUUCUUGCCUCAGACUGGUAAGGACUUUCAUAAUUUAUCUCAGUAUCAAACGGCUGUUCUGGCCAGAAAAAUUUGAUAGAAGUUGGGCUUUUUUAGGCAGAACUGCCUUUUACAAAACAAUAAAUAUGCAUAUCGACGCUAGGAAGGUUAAAAGACGGCCGGAACUCCGUUUCUGCUUGGAUGGAAGGCUCUGGCUUGGGCUGGACUGGACACAUCUGGGUCGGUCCGUACUGCUUCGUGCCUUCAAAUGCUAGGUUGAGCUAUAAAUCGAUACCAAAGUUCGAUUUUGGCAGAGCUUUAUGUUUACUUCACGCUUCGUGAGGCCUUUUAGUGGGUAGAACUGCAGCUUCUUCAGUUUGAAGAGGCAGAAGUGGCUGUUCUCGAGGGCUUGGUGGGCUAGGGAUUGCACUACGAGUGUUGUUCUGCUUGAGCAGGACUUUUUCAUAAGUUCGCUGAGGUCUCCACGUUUGUGAAGAUUCAAAUUCUGCUUGCCUUGGCUUUUUGCUGAACCAAAUUUGUAACGAGAGAGAUCUCGUUUUCAGAAGACUUAUUUUCUAAGUCUGAACUUUGGAAUUCUGAUCUAAAGCUGGUUUCUCUUGGAAUCCAAGUGAGCUUUUGGUUGUUUUCUUGUUGUUUAUUUUUUUUGAUUGAUGAAUUGAGUGUCCUUUCCUUCCUUGCCUACUUUUGUUUUUAUAAGAGACCCUCUUGGGGAGGUGGUUUCAAAUUUAAAUAAUGGGCGGUAAAAUGAUCUCCUAUAAUAUAAAGUAAAAAAGGAUUUUAUCAAUCAUGGCAGAUAAGCUCUCCGUACAGCCUAUUAAAGCAGUCCCUUCCCUGGUGUCCUACUCCCAGCUUUCUAUUUCCAUCAACCCCACAGUCCGUGUGGGCUUUUUUGGCAGUUGGUUUUUCUUUCGUAUUUUCUGAACAGCUCCCCGUUUCCCGUUCUAAUUUAGAAAGCGUGACCCGUGAAUUCCUUGGAAGAUGGUGUAUUGCUUUUUGGAGUAGAAUCUCCGAUCACAGAUGGGUUUUGAUCUUCUGCUGGCAGUGUUUCAGAGAUGUCCCUCUCAUAUUUUAACUUAGUUGAAAUUGCUGACUUUUCAAAGCUGAGGCAAUCAGGUGGGUGUGUUUUUAAUUCCCUUGGGUUUAAAACCAACAAAAUUUAUGGGCUGAUCCUUGAAGCCCAAGUGAUAGUUUCCACGUUGAUCUUUCUUGGGCCCGGUUUUUUUUGUUCUUGACAUCCUGGCCUGAAGCCCAACCUGUCUGGAUCCUAAUUUUGUUACCCUUAAGUUUUUGGGCUGGGCAUUUAAUUUCACCAUGGGCCUGUCUUUUGAACUUUGGCGUGCCAAAUUUAGGCCCAAACAGGUACAACUAGGUGAUGGUCAUAUUUAUAUUAUAUAUAUAUCUCUUAUAUUAUAUAUUUAUAUUUAUUCAUUCAUUCUUGUUUCUCGGUGUGAAUACUUCCUUGCCGAUCGUGCCAAUGGGUACGCUUUCGAGAGUUUGGUUGUGGGAUUUAUAAGUUUUUGGAUGGUAGGUUUUGUAAAGCGUUCUUUAUGGAUUUCGGACUUGGCAUCUGGUAUUGAUUUGUUUUGAUAUAUAUUAUAUAUAUAUAUAUAUAUAUAUACUUGAGUAUGACGGUUUUGAGAUGCAUGAGAUUUCUUGCAUGGUUUUCUAAACGGUGGGGUUAUAUUACGUUGGUUUACACUGAACUGAAUUUAUUUUUGUCCACUCACAAUUUUCUGUUUUGCGCCCCCCAGCCAGUAGUUGACUGAGCUUCGCAACAAAGCCGGAUCGUGCGCUUCCGAGCCUUGAGUCAUCGUAGGACUCUUUCUUCAUGUUUUUCCCUUUGAACUCUGUUUUGUUGAAAUUGAAGUUCUUAGACAUGCUCUGUUAUCACCCCUGUUAGGGUUUGAAUUUUGAGGCCAGAGGCCAUUUUGUUGUAAACUGUUUAUUCGCUUUAAAGAAUGCUGCUGGUUGGGAUUAUUCUGUAUUUUUUUUUGCAGGUUGAAUUUUGUUGAUUUGUUCAAUUCACAGGGGAGACUCUGCCAAAAUUUUGGUAGAGAGUCUCGAUUUUUAGUAAGUGGGCCCGGCAUCGGGAAGAUGUUGGAACAAAGACGGGAUUCGCCCUGGUUUUGGGGAAAUUUCGAGGAGGGUCCUGUCAUACAAACAGCUUUUGUUAAGAUAUCUGCCAGUUGAUCUUCUGAUUUUACGAAUGGUAGAUGGAUGAUCUUCUUCUCAAUCUUGUCUUUGAUAAAAUAUCUAUCCACUUCAACAUGUUUGGUUCGAUCAUGUUGAUCUGGAUUAUGGGCAAUGUCAAUGGUUGAUUUGUUAUCGCAAUGUAAUUUCAUUGGCUUUCCUAGCUUGAAACCCAAUUCUUUCAAUAGUCUUCUGAUCCACAAUAGUUCACAAACUCCGUUAGCCAUUCUUCAAUACUCUGCUUCUGCACUAGACUGAGAAACCACAUUUUAUUUUUUACUCUACCAAGUGACUAGAUUACCUCCUACGAAGGUAAAGUAACAUGAAGUAGAGCGUCUGUCAGUAAUGGAGCCAGCCCAAUCAGCAUCUGUAUAUUCAACAACUUCGAGAUCUCUAUUUUUUUUAGAACAUUAAUAAUUACUGACUUUAAGUAUCUUAAGAUCCGAUCAACUGCAUUCCUAUGGGACACACUGGGUGAAUGCAUAAACUAACUAACCAUACUCACAGCAUAUGCAAUAUCUAGUCUUAGAGGACGUAUGAAAAGUAGAACAUUUGGUGGUGGUGAUAGAAGCAGGAGUCCGAGUAGCUGGGUCAAUAGGAGUGACUGCAUGCUUCUGUGAGUCUGCAAUAAGAUGGAGAAUCGUAGGGGUUCCUGACAUCGUAUCGGAAGUAAGAUAUGAUAUGAGAAUGUGAGGAAUUUGAUGUAGGAAUUGGAUUUAAGAGGUAUGUGUAUAAGAUUUGAGGGUAUGUGUUUAGGGAUAUGGAUAAGAGGAUUUGAAUAUGAUAAAUUUGAGAUAAGGGUUUAGAGGCAAAACAACUUCUCUCCACUCCCCCUCUCUCCCUGAAGAAAAGGGGUCGUCAGAGUAAAGAAAUAUGCAGUAUCUUCAUGGGAAUACGUCAAGGUAAUGGGGAUAUGUCAGUAAACAUAUCAUUUUCACUCCCCCUCCCCCCUUGAAAAGGAGGGGAGGAGAGCACUUAAAUUUCAAGAAGAACGCAAGCACAGGUCACAAGAGAACCUGGCUCUGAUACGAUGCUAAAGUAUGAAUAUGGUUUGAAUGUAUUAGGUUUAAUUUAUUCUUCUUCAUAAUGAGGUAUAUAUAAGAGUUUACAUAUGGGCUUUAUAAGGAAUUAGAUACAGUAAAGAAUUAGGAAAGUAUCUCAUAAUUAUACAAUAAUUUAUCAAUUAUAUAAAAAAUAAGAAAGUAAAUUACUUAAUUAAUCAAGGAAAUAAAUCUCCUUAAUUAAGUAGGAGACUCACGUCAACACAUAAGGCAGAUGUAGAGAUGAAGUUGAGCAUUUCUGUACUUCGAAUGAAUUAAUCCCAACAGAAUCACAAGCUUUUUUCUUGUUGCGCAAAUUGUAAUUUGUAUGUGCCACUUUCAUUAUAUCGUGACCACACAAUCAUGGUUGCCGUGUAGCCCAUGGAAAUCAACUCUGCAGUCUGCACUGGCAAUUGGUAUAAUUCAAUUUGUGGAAAUUGCUACAACCUCACAGGUCAACUGUAUCUGAAUACAUUAUAAAUUAAUAUAAUAAUGAUAAUAAUAAUAAUGUUAGGCUCAUCAGAAUAUCUUUGCUCAUUACAUUAUAUGUCCUCACAAAAAUAAAAUAAAAUAAUCAAAUCGGAAAUCGUUUAACCGUUUGAUUAUUAUCAUAAUAUUUCAAUUACCCGUAGGAAAUAUCUGUAAACACGAAUUUCUUGCGACAAAUGAGACAAGAACACGUGUAUAAAAUAAUAUUUGUAUUAAUGAAAUUUAAUGUUCCAAUCUCUGUAUUAAAUCCUCUGAUUCGAUCUCCAAAGUGUUUAAAGAAAAUUUGUGUUUGAUACAAGGGUCGUAGAGACUUGAUCUUGAUCAAACGGGUAGCACAAGGCUUGUUUGGUGUUAGGAUUUUUCUAGGGUAGAGGAACCGGCACGUAUUUGUUGUGCUUUAUGGCUCUUCCAAAGUGAGGUGAAUAAUGCAGAAAUUUUUUUGUUUCUUCUGAGUGCUUGGUUUGUCUCCGCCCCUGUCUUUCUUCUUGAGACCUCCUAUUUAUAGGUCCCUGCAGGAUGCUUGACCUAAAUAGCUUUCCUUCUAUAGGACCCUGUUUUGUGGGAUUUUGAUUUGAUUUAAAAUCAAUUCCGAUAAUUUGGCAAUUUAACCAAAUUAUCUUCGAUUGAUUGACUUGAUUAAUAUUUGAUUUAAAUCAAAGUCAAUCACAGAAAAUUCUUUCCUUUAAUUUUGUUUUCACUUUAAACCAUUUGAUGCACUCCGUCGGAUGUCAACACAUGUCACUUUUGAUAACUAAUCCGAUUUUGAUGAGUCGUACACCACAUGGGCGAAUUAUGAAACCUACAAUUUAAUCCACCAAACCCUAAUUAAUUUCUUACUUAGUGGAAUUUAAUUCACCAAAAUUUCAUUGUCUACAAAUUGCCUCCACUUCACAAUGCACUGUAGAUGUGUGUUUGCCACAUAUCUAUAGUGUGACUUGAAGUCCCUCUUGAUGGCGAAUGCAUUUUGUUCACAGGUAAAUUACAAGAGUUGAUCUUAAUUUGAUGAAGCCACUCUUGUUGGCGAUCACCUUUCUAUUGUUGCAAUGACCUUUCUUGUACAAUUUUUUUAUUUUUUUAUUUUUUUUAUUUUUAUUUAUUUUUUAUUUUUAUUUUCACUUGGUGGUAUCAACUCUUGGCCGAUAAUCAUUUGCAUGAGUGCAUUAAACAUGGGCUUUGGCACAACCAGAUCCUGGACCAUCGGAACUCCAGAUCAUAUAGUUUCAUAUGAUAAAGAAAUCCUUGUAUUUUGAAGAGGCCUCCAACUAAAUCAACAAUCUUGCGUGGUGGUGAAGAAAAUUCCAUAUUACAUAAGCACAAUUGAUGGCUUGAUCAUGUAUCAUCACAUAAUUUCCUUGAAUGCGUUGGAAAUUAAAGGGAAAACAUUUCGUGCUCAAUUUUGUCUUGCUACUUUCGUGGCAAAUAAACAUGGUCUCGAUCAAAAGGGAUUAUGAUCUUGAAUGCUCUAAAACAAAAAUGGAAAGAAUAUGCCCGUCCUGAUUUUUUAUUAAAAUAUUUUGGGACCCAAACAAGGGAAUUCCCUAUGCAUCUUUUGCUUGGUUUCUGCACCAAAGCUUCCACUUAUCUUUUUCAAUACGUCGGCAGCAUCCCUUGGUAACUAAUAAUCACAUGGUUGGUGGUGUUUCUCUUGCUUGAAGUUGUGUGCCUUCUUAGCCUUGAGCCCGUGCUCACCCAACCUCACUGAGCCAAUCGCCAUGUUCAGAUCUUUUCCUUUGUUACUUGGUCGAUGCUUAAUGAACUCGUCUUGGCACGAUGAUGUUGAUAAGUUGUUGCUCCUAUACUCCAUUGAAGUGGGGUCAAUGUUUUCUUACAUGAAGGAAUAUGCCACACAUGUAACUCAUGACAAGGAGGCCAUAAAGCAAUCAGCCAGAAACUUUUUAUUAUUUAUUAUUUAUUAUUUUUCUUCUUUUUUUUUGGCUAGGCACAUGUUGCUAAAAGGGCCAAACCUAGAGUUGCAAUUGAGGAUUUGAUCGCAGCUAGAUUUUUGAAGCGCAAACCGAGAUGAUUAAACUAUCAAUACCAUGAUGCCAGAGACUUCUCAAAAGGUGGAGUUCAUCUUGUUGGAUAUGUGAGGCGUUACAUGCAUCAUGUGGCCCAAGUGAAGGUCUGUUGAGGUUUGCAUCCACCAGUCGACGACGAAAGAAAAACGUAGAGGUCCUAACUGCUUGGGUUUGAACCAUUUCUUUGAUUUGGUGAUAACCCACUCAAGUGCUUAGGCUUGAUCUUGUUGGAGAACGAGUGAAGAAUGUAGACGUCCUAUACCGCUUGGGUUUGAUCCAUCUCUCCGAUUUGGUGAUAACCUACUCAAGCGCUUAGGCUUCACGUAUUGGAGGACGAGUGAAGAACGUAGACGUCCUAUACCGCUUGGGUUUGAUCCAUCUCUCUGAUUUGGUGAUAACCCACUCAAGGGCUUAGGCUUUACGUAUUAGAGGAUGAGUGAAGAACAUAGACGUCCUAUACCGCUUGGGUUUGAUUCCUCUCUCCGAUUUGGUGAUAACCCACUCAAGUGCUUAGACUUUAUAUAUUGGAGUAUGAGUGAAGAACGUUGACGUCCUAUACCGCUUAAGUUUGAUCAAUCUCUCCAAUUUGGUGAUAACCCACUCAAGCGCUUAGGCUUUACGUAUUGGAGGACGCCCAACUUGAUCGAGCACAAAUACUUUCCCAAAGAGACUUCCUUUUCCUUAUUUAUUUAUUUAUUCAAGAUUCACCAAAGAAAUGAUCCAUAGUGAAGCUUUUGGAGUGGAUAGGUCAUGGUAAAUUACAAAUUGCACAAAACAAGGCAAGAUAUUCAUUUGACGAAGGCCAAGGUAGUGAAUGGUGUAAGAAUAACAAGGGUGAACAAGGAGUACCAGCUUGAUGUUGAACGAAAGAAGUUAAUGUAGCCCUGACGGAGCGAAUUGGAAGUCAAAUAGUGCCAAACUAAUGAGAAACUCCAAAUUUAUUUUAUCAUGUGACUGAACUCAAAGUGGUCUUAUGAGCUGCCUACGUACCCUUAUAGGAAAAAAAGAGAUCAAGUCACGACGUAGUUCAAUGUUUUUCUUGGUUUUUUGGUUUUUUUUUCUUUUUUUUUUUUAGUUUGCAGUUUUAGCUCAUGCAAGCGAGGGAGCAUUUGGUGCCUUGUGCAUUUUUGGCUCUUGCAGGCGAAUGAGCGUUUUGGUGUCUUGUGCAGUUUAGGCUCGUGCAGGCGAACAAAUGAGCGUUUGGUGCCUUAUGCAAUUUCGGCUCGUGUAGGCAAAUGAGCAUUUGGUGCCUUGUGCAGUUUAGGCUCAUGUAGGCGAACGAAUGAGCAUUUGGUGCCUUAUGCAGGCGAAUGAGCGUUUGGUGCCUUGUGUAGUUUAGGCUCGUGCAAGUGAACGAAUGAGCUUUUGGUGCCUUGUGUAGUUUCUGCUCAAACAUGCGAAUGAGCGUUUGGUGCCUUGUACAGUUUAGGCUCGUGUAGGCGAACGAAUGAGCGUUUGGUGCUUUGUGCAAUUUAGGCUCGUGCAGGCAAACAAAGCAGCAUUUGGUGCCUUGUGCAGUUUCGGCUCGUGCAGGCGAAUGAGCAUUUGGUGCCUUGUGCAAUUUAGGGUCGUGCAGGCGAACGAAGGAGCGUUUAGUGCCUUGUUCAGUUUUGGCUUAUGCAGGCGAAUGAGCAUUUGGUGCCUUAUGCAGUUUAAGCUCGUGCAGGUGAAUGAAUGAGCGUUUGGUGCCUCGUGUAGUUUCGGGUUGUGCAGACGAAGGAGCAUUUGGUUGAAUUUGUGUCAAGCUAAGUGAGAAGUGUCCUCCUUAUGUUUUUUUUUUCACCUUGAGAGGUGCUCGACACAUUAUUCUUGAAGAAUCCUUUGGGGAAGAAAUCAUGUAGCAUGAUGGGGCUAAGUGACCUUUGUUUCAAAAGUUCAUCUUUUGAAACCAUUUUGUUCAUAUUUGACAAUUUAUUUCCUCUAUGCCUUUUAGGUGGUUCAGAAGAACUUCUUUUGUUUACAAAUUUUUUUUACCGAGCAGUUCUUGGCAAAGAUGCAUUCUUCUUAUGUAACUUCUUCUGAGUGACCAAUGUUCAUCCUUCAUUAUCGUCAUCGGAUGAAUCGACACUACUUCGACUUAACACCCCAACACACUCAUACAGAUUGAGUUGAUGGGUUUCAGAGAAUGCCCCUAGUGGUUGAAGUGAGGGCAAAGGUGCCGAAUCAGAGAAGACAAAUGAGAUCGUAGCAUGGUUUGACUCUACCAACUUGUCAAGAUCUAUUUCGAUUCUUCCUUGUUGUGCCAACUUCAUGAUGAGAUCUUUCAACACGAAACACUUUUCCACUGGGUGACAAAUGACACGAUGGUGCACGCAGUAUUUUGGUGGUUAAUAUGAUUCAUCUCUUUAGAGCGUUUGCACUCGGGUAACUCAAUCACCUUCUUCUCGAGUAAGUCUUCCAGCAUGCCUUCUACGUCAAAGUCUAGAAAAAAGAUACUUCCUCUCCUUCAUUUCUUUUAGGAUGUGUCAUCGUGGUUCUUGAUCUUGAGUUGACUCGGCCUUCCUCUCAUCUUUCUUGCCUAAAGCGGAAACCUUCAUUGGAGCGGCACUGAUCGUCAUUGACUCCAAGAUGCGUGUCUUCAAAGAGUCUGCCCCAUUUCUCGAUGACUUCUCAUUUCAAUGAUCACUCACUAUUUCAUUUCUUCCAUCGUGACUAGUGUUACUUAGCUCUAUGUCAUGCGCACGAGUGGUCAAUUCUUCAAAGCUAUGGGGUUUGAUCCCUUGAAGAAUAUAAAGCAGACCCCAAUGCAUACCUUGAAUGCACAUCUCUACCACCGAUAACUCUGAGACUCGAUCUUUGCAGUUGAGGCUUAAUGAACUCCAACAAUUGAUGUAGUCAACAACAGGUUCAUUUUUUUGUUGCUUUGUGCUAGUGAGCUUUAGCAUGCUAACUGAGCGAUGAGUGCUAUAGAAGCGGUUGAGGAAUUCUCUCUCCAUUUAUUCCCAGCUAUCACUUGACUCUGGUUCUAAGUCAGUGUACCAAUUGAAUGUAGUGCCUCGGAGUGAGCGAACAAAUUGCUUCACGAGUAAUCGUCAUUAGUGCCAGCGUUGUUACACAUCUCGAUGAAGUGGGCAACAUGUUGUUUAGGGUUACCUUUUCCAUCAAACUGCAUGAACUUUGGAGGUUGAUAACCCAUUGGCAUUCGAAGGUUGUCUAACCUUUUGGUGUAAGGCUUGCAAUAAAUAAAUGUAUCUUGAUAAGGCCCACCAUAUUGAGCCCUGAUGGUUUUCACGAUCAUGUCCUGAGGUUGUUGGACCGACAAAGAACCCACCGAGACGAUGUCGCCUUUUCUAUGCAACUUCUCACCCAACUCUGUUUCAUGACCCAAUCCUUUCUCACUGGAUUCAGCUUCAUGAUGUGGUCCUUUCUUAUGCACGUCUUGACCAAGUUCCUUAUCCUAAUGUGCCUCCUACUUGUUAAUGAGAGAAGCAAUUUGCGCAUCUUUCUCUUCGACCGUCUUCUUCAGUUUCGUGACUGCUUCACUUAUAUGGGCCAGCUGUUCUUCAAUAGACAUCUUUCAUGUCACCAUGACCUGCAUAGCCAUAGAAUAAGACUCACAUAUGGACGCUGAGGGUUUCAUGACAAUCUUCUUUUGUUGGUUGUCAGACGGGGAUCCAUGGUAUGAGCAUGUGCUCGAGUCAGCGUCUAAAACAGGCGAGAGUGAACGUUCUCUUGAAUUAUUUGAACCCGAAGAACUCCUUUCUUCAUUCCGAGAGUUUAUCUCAUCCGCUCGGGGUGUAUUCUUCUUUGCCCCCAAGAAGGCCAAGUUGAUAGCCAGCUCAUGCCUUCGAUUCACAUCUUUCGCCUUAGCUUGAUCAAGUCGGUAUGGAAGUGACAUGUUGAGUUACGAAUAUAGCAUUGGCCUUACUCCUGGUGACGACCCCAGCAGAGUCUCCGCUUGAGAAGGAAGCGCUCACACUUUUGCCUCUCGUCGCGGGAGCGAUUUGAAUAUUCUUGGAAGCCAUCGUUUUCGAUUUGUUGAGUGAUUUUGGAAUUGGAGAAAGAGAUGAGAGGCAUACAUGGUCCCACUAGGCGUGCCAAAUUUGUAAACACGAAUUUUCUGCGACAAAUGAGACAAGAACACAUGUACAAAAUAAUAUUUGUAUUAAUGAAAUUUAGGGUUACAAUCUCUGUAUUAAAUCCUCUUAUUCAAUCUCCAAAGUGUUUAAAGAAAAUUUGUGUUUAAUACAAGGGUCGUAGAGACUUGAUCUUGAUCAAACAGGUAGCACAAGGCUUGUUUGGUGUUUGAAUUUUUCUAGGGUAGAGGAAUCGGCAUGUAUUUGUUGUGCUUUGUAGCUCUUCCAAAGUGAGGAACCGGUGUUUGAAUUUUGUUUCUUACUUAGUGGAAUUUAAUUCACCAAAAUUUCAUUAUCUACAAUAUCAUAUUUGAUUUGUCCCUUUAACUAUUUAUAAACUAUUUGACGCUUUAAUUUUUGUUUCUUCUUAGUGCUUGGUUUGUCUCUGCCCCUGUCUUUCAUCUUGAGGCCUCCUAUUCAUCAAAUUAAAAUCAAUUCCGAUAAUUUGACAAUUUAACCAAAUUUUCUUCGAUUGAUUGACUUGAUUAAUAUUUGAUUUAAAUCAAAGUCAAUCACAUAAGAUUCUUUCCUUUAAUUUUGUCUUCACUUUAAUCCGUUUAAUGCACUCCGUCGGUUGUCAACACGUGUCACUUUUGACAACUAAUCCGAUUUUGAUGAGUCGUACGCCACAUGGGCGAAUUAUGGGGCCCACAAUUUAAUCCCCCAAACCCUAAUUAAUUUCUUACUUAGUGGAAUUUAAUUCACCAAAAUUUCAUUGUGUACAAUAUCAUAUUUGAUUUGUCCCUUUAACUAUUUAUAAACUAUCUGACGCUUUAAUAUUUUUUAAUAUUUUAUAAUAUAAGUGAUAGUCUAAAUCACAAGGAUGGGGAGAAUUUUCACACACACACUACCAAAGUAACAUGGACGUUCAAACCUGAGGCCACUAGUCUACAAAUCAAUGUCAUUUUUCUCUGGGUUAGACCCGAUUAGUAUGCUUUUUACAAUUUUCAAAUCCUGACGUUUAGUUUUCUUCAUAUUUUACUUGCAAUUUGUUUUGUGAAGUACUAAUUAUUACACGUAGCGAAUUAGUGAUCACUAAACAAUGAAUAAAAAAAUCAGAAUAAUUUAUGUUCUCCUUUUCUAUCAUUGGUAAUGGUAAACCAAGCAUAUGGGAACUAACAUCUGUCUCCAAAUGAACAUCCACAUGAGCAAAUUAUUUUUGUUGUAGGUAUCAAUCACAUGUAUAAAAGCUUCAAUCAAGAAGAAAAAGAAAAAGAACAUAAAGCUAUCUCGUCUUUUUUUAUAAAUUUUGUUAUCAGUGCAACAAUUACUUAUACUUUUGGAGAACCAACAAUUUUUUUUUUUUGUCGAGGAGACCAACAAUAUAAACUGAUACUUUGAAAAAUAAAAUUGUUAUAGACAGCUUGAGAAAAUCGGAAAGGGAUAGAAAAAGAAAAGUACAAAGAAGAUAGAAUGAAAGGUUCAAUUUCGACCACAUAAGCAACAAGACCUUCGACCAACAAAGAAAAAAGGAACAAGACCAAUAAUCGUAACGCGACAGCACAACAACAACACUAAAAAGGAUGUCAUGUCUCUUUGAAAGAAGUUUUGGUUAGGGAAAGGGAGGACCAUGUCGUGUUUCACAUGCUUGUCUUCCAUUUUUCGUUCCGAGAUAUUGCCAUGUACAAAUAAAACUCUUAUUAAAACUCCGAUUUUUCGUUUUGAAUUUGAGUGUUUUUUCAGAGAUAUGAUUUUUGAAAAAAUAUCUAUAAAAAUUAUUCGAAUAAUUAAAAUACAAUGUAAAAUUAUCUUCACAAAAAUAUUCAUCAAAUACACUUAUUUGAAUAAUCUCUCAAUUAAAGCUAUUUCUGAUAAAUCAAUUACAUAUACAUAGCUCAAAGUGUAUUAUUUUUUUCUAACAUAACAUGCACAACAUUUUGAAGUCAUCAAAGUGUAGGAUGAUCAUGAUCCUAUAGAGUCAUGAUUACCCCCACUUUUAUUGGUUGAAUUUCUGAAUCUUGGAUAACAUAUUGUGGGCCAUAGCCAUAGAUGAGCUGUGCUAGGGAGUGAGUAUCUGGGGGUGAAUAUACUCUUGCCGACACAACCCCAAGCUCCAACUGCCAUUCAAACGAGCUCCACCACCGGCCAUAAUAAAUUAUCUUAGUCAAGAAGAAAAGGAGGGAUUUGGUUCCCACCUCAACUUUUUAGGGUUUAUCUCCUUUUCCCUGAAAAUCAUCUUGUAUUAGUGUUUGUCCUGUUUCAAUUUCUCUCUCACCUCACACCUAUCCAACUAUGUUAAUUUGAUUGGAUAACGUGUCAGAUUUUAUGCAAAGAGGACCCAUUUAUCCAUAAGUAGUUGGGUCAGUUCACUCACCACACCUUUUUUUUUUUUUUUUUUUUAUAUAAUUUUUUUUUAAAUAUAAGCGAUAUUGAAGGAGUCGGAUUUUCUCACACUGAAAAUGUGUCGAGUUUCAAACCUGAAACUACUGAUCUGCAAGUCCCAUGUUCACCACUCACCCAUAACUUAACACAUCACACAUGCUUACAAAUCAUUUUUAUUUUUAUAGAGCUUGAAGUUUAUAAUAAAUUGGUUAAUUAACAUAGGUUUUCAGUAACAAAACAUAAGUUUUCGAUGAAAUUAUAAAUUUUAUAGCCACCUUGAUCACAAUUAUCACAAACUAUUACUUGAUCCAAGAGAAGUAGACGGCAAUCCGCAACAGUCAUUUAUCUGUGAAUUAUUUCUCACUACCAGAUGGCCCCAACCAGAGCAUUUCCUCCACUUAUUCUCUCUCUUACUCCAACAUGGAUUAAGGGGGGGCAGCAAAUUAGCAAUCUUGCCGGAAUGUUUUCCUACUGAUUAGUGUCUGAACGCUUAAUUUUAUCUAUUUUAAAUAUAUAUCUAUAUAUAUAUAUAUAAAAUAAAAGGUAGAGAAUGGUAAAAUAUUCAAAAUACCAAAAAAUAUCAUUGGUUAAUGUAAAUAUUAAGAAUUGAAAUUAUUAAUUAAAAAAAUUAAAAUUAAGAGAAAAAUCAGAAAGAAUCCUAUUUUUAUUACCCAUUAUCUUUUUAAUUCUAAAAUAAAUUUAAUUUUUUUUUAAAAAAAAAGCAUCUCACAGGCGCUGAAGCGCGUGUGAAGAGGCUAGUAUAAAAUAAUAAAAAAACCAAAUGACAAAGUUUAUGUUCAAUGAGAUGCUUGAAUGUUUAUUAAUAGACUAACCUCUUCACAUGCGCUUCUGCUCUUGCGAGAUCCUUUUUUUUAAAAUUAACAUUUAUUUUAGAAUUAAAAAAAUAAGGGCCUUUUAUCUGAUUUUUCUUUUAUUUUUAAUUUUUUUAAUAUGAAAAAGUAUGAAUUUACCAUAUUAUUCUCAUUUAAUUAAUAAUUUCAAUUCUUAAUGUUUACAUUAACCAAAAGUAUUUUCUGGUAUUUUAAUUGUUUUACCAUUCUCUAACUUUUACUAUAUAUAUAUAUAGAUUAUUUAUCAUGAAAACAAAAUAAAAUAACAUAUAUAAAAAUUAUUCCAUAUAGAAUUUAAUAUUCAACUAUUUCUUCUACAUGCCAAAAAUGUCGCGUUGAACUUAACAUCUAACAACUGCAAUGACCCGAACAAUAAAGGAAGCUACUGCUCUGGCCAUGUCUAUCUACCAAUGAGUUCAGUCCACGAAUUUCUUAAAUAAAACUAGAUUUGAAUUAUUUUGAUGGCAUUUUGUGACUCUCAUUCUGCAUUAUAGUAUAAUAAUAUAAUACGAUUUAACUCAUAUAAUAUGAAUACAAUUGUCUACUUUUUAUUAAAGAAAAUGUUAUCAUAAUACCCCACCUUAGAUGGGUAUCUACCCAUCACUUUACAUUUCAAUUUAUAGAGAGGACAGCAAAUCCUAACCGUUCACCAAAGCAUGGCACGUGGCAAAAUCAAGAUUAUCCAAUUUUAAGAUAUUUAUUAUUAGGAAAAAAUUUUAAAAAUAUCACUUGUACUUAUAUAUAAUUUCAAUUUGUCACUCAAAGAAAAUUUCUAAAGAGAUAUUAUUUUGAUUUAUCGAAAUUCCUAAAUUAGAAUAUGUGGCAUGUAAAACACACGCAGAAUUUUGGAUAGAGUUACAGUGCCAUACGACAAAUUAAGCAUUUUGAAAAAUUGAGAUGUGAGUUCUCUUAAAUAUUUGUUUUACGAUGAUGAAAUUGUAGAUGUGACAUUUAUAAGGUUUUCCCCUUCCUUAAAAAAUCAAACCACUUUUAACCUAAGGUUAUAUUUGAGCAUGCGACAGGAGAGAGUGAAGAGCCGAGGAAAAGAAGUUUCGCACCAGCGCAUUUAUAAAUACCCACCACCAUGCACCCAACUGUCUCACACCAUCAAAACCUCUUCUCAUAUUAAUCUUGCUCUCCAUCGUCCCGUUUCCGAUAUAAUACCCAAAAUACCCCGCCAUGUCUGAGGAGAAGCACCACCACGGCCUCUUCCACCACCACAAGGAUGAAGACAGACCCAUUGAAACCUCAGACUACCCUCAGUCUGGUGGUUACUCUGAUGAAGGACGUACAGGCAGCGGCUACGGUGGUGGUGGUGGCUACGGCGAUGGUGGUGGCGGCUACGGGGACAACACUGCUUAUUCUGGUGAAGGACGUCCCGGCAGCGGCUACGGUGGUGGUGGCGGCUAUGGAGAGAGCGCUGAUUACUCAGAUGGCGGCCGUUACAAGGAGACCGCUGCAUAUGGCACCACUGGCACCCAUGAAUCUGAAAUUGACUACAAGAAGGAGGAGAAGCACCACAAGCAUCUUGAGCACCUAAGCGAGGCCGGGGCUGCUGCUGCUGGUGUUUUUGCCCUGGUAUGGAUUUAACCACCUUUUAUAUAUGAAUCUUCUAAUUUUGUUCAUGAUUUUAGUUAUAUAUUAACCUUAAAUGUGAAGGAUCACAGUCAGAAAUUCAUACAUUUUCAAGGCUCAUUUCCCAAUAACUAAUUAAUCAUGCAUAGUAAGCAGAUCAUUGUAUACAACGGUUGUAUGUAAGAAUUUCUCGACGAAGCAGGGCGAAUGCUUUUAAGCUCCUUAGGCCUUGUCAACAUAACAAGAGAAGUGUGAAGAGUAAAUCUUCUCAAGUAUCAAAUGGAUUAAGUUUUUCUGAGACUAAUGUAAUUAAGAUCUGUCCCAGAAAUAAUUUGACAAAAUUAUAAAGAUAUUUUCAUUUAACAAUUGUAUCCAGAUGAGACAUAUAAUACAAUUAAAAUACCAGAUCCUAAUUAAUUAACUCUUAUUUAAUUUAAUAAUGAUCAUGAGAUGUGAUGUGAUGUGCAGCAUGAGAAGCACGAGUCAAAGAAAGACCCAGAGCAUGCUCACAGGCACAAGAUAGAGGAGGAGAUUGCUGCAGCAGCUGCAGUUGGGUCUGGUGGGUUUGCCUUCCAUGAGCAUCAUGAGAAGAAAGAGGCAAAGGAAGAAGAGGAAGAGUCUCAUGGAAAGAAGCACCACCAUCUCUUCUAAAUCUACAAAUAAAUACUAUAUUUUAUAUUUAUAUAUUGUGAUUUUACUUAUCUGUUAUGAGUGAGGUUUGAUCUCAACAAUGUUAUAAUUGUUGAGUGCUUAUGUGUGCUUGUUAUAUGAGUGCUAUGUAUCUAUCUAUUUCUCGUUGUUGAUAAUAAAUAAUAUCGUUUACUUGAUGUUAAUUUCUAUAUUAUUAAUUGGUCUUCUUUUUUCUUCUAAGAUAGAAAAUAUUAUUGUUCUCUUCUUGUGGUGGUGGUGGGUGUUAUCUUAGCCUCUUCUUAAGGAUAUUGCCUCUCUCUUUCUUUGGAAGGAGACAUUCUUACUUAGUGCAAAUCACAAUUUGACAUAUAUGUAAAAAUAAUUCAUAAAAAGCACCAAAACAAAAAUCUCAACAUACAUAUUAAUCUGUGAUUGGCAGAAAAAUAGAAGCUCUUAUUUCCAGGGAGUGAGGCAAGUAUUUUGCCCUCCUUAAUUUCCAUCAAGGUCACGAUUUAUUUUGUCAAUCCCAACUUUAGUAAAUUGACUUAGCAAGUAUCUGGCCCUAUCAGAGAACAAUACGUGGAUAUUGUGCACUUGAUUUUCAAUCGUGAGACCAUCAUGUUCACAAUAGUGCCAUUUAAUAUAAACAUAAAUUAAUUAUUAUUUUUAUAAUAUUUUAUACAAGAGAUACUGGAGAAGGAGGAAACUUAAGAUCUUAUAUGGAGGAGUAAAUUGGGGCUUCACUAAAUUAAUUGAAUAUGAUAUUUUACUCUCGUGAAGAAUUUCUUGAAUACGUGAUAUUAGAGUCUUUAGAUGAGCGAAACCGCAUAUAAUUAUAAUAUAUAUAUAUAUAUAUUUAGGAUCCAUAUAUUUAAUUUAUUAAUUUUUAUAUCGUAUAGUAUAAAUCCAUCUUCUAGUCUCUUUCAUGUGAAGUAAAGGGUCCCGGGGAAUAAUGAUAAAAGCAAUUAUGUCUUUCUCUUCCUUCUUCGUGCCAUUUAAGCCAAAACGUAGGGUAGCCAUCCAUUACAUAACGAAUUUUUGUUUAUGAAAAGUAUUACCUUCAUCAAAAUCACGGAAAAAUGACUAAAUAGCUCUCUUAAAAAACCCUUUCCAUUUAACAAUGAUGAAAGUAAAAUAUGCUCACAUUACAAGUGAGCAAUGAGGGGUUGACUCUAAUGACCCUAUACCUUCUUUCCUCCCAAUAAUAAUUUUGAGUGAAUGUGCAACUCAAAUUUUAACUCUCUUUAUCAUUCUUAUCACAAAUCGUACUUGAAAUUUUCGAAAUUCAUCAUUUUAGUCCCCCACAUUGCAAAUCGAUCAAUAUGACGUUUUAGUACAUACCUUGCCACCUUGGCUCAUAAGAUAAGGGAAGGCGGUGGAUAGAUUAUUGUCUUGGAAUUUUUCAAAUGACAACGAUGGAAUUUAAGAAACCCAUAUUCCAUAAUUAUUUGCAAGAAAAACUUAUAAUCUUUUUUUGGGUUUAUGUAUCCAAAUGUAAGGGAUUAGUGUGUGUGUAUAUAUAUAUCCCUUUUAUUGAUGGAUUCUUCAAAUAAUUUUAUUUGAGGGACGCACUACCAUACGAAUUUUUUUGCAACGAUCCAAACAAUCUAUUUUUUAAGUCUUCAUUCAUAGAUCAUCUUUACAAAAAAUUAGACAAAUCGAAAACUGAUUAGACAUCCAAUUGUGUCUUACAAAAUCAAUGAACAUGGGCUUCAAGAAGGUACUAAAAUUUUAAUUAUUUAAUUGAGUGGUCAAAUUAUAUCAGAUUGAAGUGAUUUUUUAUAGAGAUGAUAUUUGAAUGAAUAUCUACAAAAUAGAAGGUUUGGAUUAGUAAAAUAUAAUCCGGAGUAGGCCCUACAAGAGUGUCUCUCAAAUAAGCUUAUUUGAGGGAUCCCUCAAUGAAAGCUCUUUGUGUAUAUAUAUAUAUAUAUAUAUAUAUCUAUUUUUUAUUGCGUACUUCAAUUUUAUGCAAAUGUUAAAUCCAUCAUACUAUCUAGGGGUGGGCAUGGUACGGUAUAGUAUGGUAUUAAGCAUGUACCACUACCGAUACCGGAAAUUUAAAUCGGUAUGGUACGGUAUAGAAUUAUGAUUUGCUAAAAUUUGUACCGUACCGUACCAUGCCAAAUCGGUAUCAGUACAGUAUCGGUACCAUUUCGACACUAAAAUGACACAACUAAAAAAUGAACUAAUUCAAUAUUCAACACAUUCAUUCACCAAAAUAAGUGACGCCUAAGUUACAAAUUCAAAGAUAUUUUAGCUACUGAUAUUUUAGGCAGGGCUCGGCCCAGGGUCAUUCCUUGUUAGUUUAGUUUGUUGUCGGCUUAGUCCUACCAUUUAACCAAAAGAAAAAAAGCCUCCAUCUUAAUCAAGAUUCUAAGUGACUUUUCUACUAACAAAAAGUAAAGAGUCCAAGGAUAAUCCUAAAAUCAAAUGGUGAUAGGCACUAAUUUUAUUAAGAGAUAAAAGUACAUACUAUUUCUUUCUUUUCUUUCACUCAAGGAGUCUUGGUUGAAUACUUUACAACUAUUUUAUUUAUUAUAUUCUCAUCAUGAAAACCUUUUCACCUAUAAAUCAAAAAUUACUAAUUGAGUUGCUUGAAGAAAGAUGACUUUUGCCAAAUAAAUCAAAGAAAAAGCUUUUAAUUAUCAAAUGAAUCAAAGAAAAAGGCUCUAUAAACAAACACACAAAGGCAAUCAAAAUUAUAUUUAAGUACUAUUCAGUACGGUACGGUAUUGACCGGUACCAAAAUCUUGAUACCGCUACUAUACCAUACUCUAUUGGUAUGGUAUGGUACGGUACCAAAUAUCUUCCCAUACCAAAUGAAACGGUAUGAAAUUGGUAUGGUAUGGUACGGUUAUGGUAUGGUUUCGGUAUUUCGGUUUAAGAUGCCCACCCCUAACUAUCUAGCUUUCAAUGACUAAACGGUCAAAUGGUAUUAAUUCUACACCCUCAAUUUUUUGGUAAAAAUCUUGUUCGAUAGAGAGAAAGCUCGAUACCUAUUUGAUAGGUGUUUUUAUAAAUUUAAAAAAAAAAAAUUAGGCAUGAUUUUGUAAUACAAUAUUCGUUCAGGUUAAGAAUGGUAAAUUAACCUUUAUUUUUCUUUCUGACAUCAACGGGGUGAGGGCACUGGCGGACCCAUAAAUUUUUUAGCGGAGGUGCAAUAUUGACUAAGUAUGAAAAAUAGUUUUUCGGAAUAGUCAUCUUCUCAAGAUAAUUUUUGGCGUCUUUUAUUCCUUACACAUCAAAUAAGAAAACUUGAUUUUAUGAGAUUUUAGUAUGAAGUAUAUAUUGACUUAAUGAGCCAUCAUUUUUAGCCUAAAUCGUAUUUUGCACUAAAACCGAUUUUUCAUAUUUUGAUUUGGUAGGAAUUUGAUUUUCUAAUAUUUUUAUUUGAAUCCAAAUGGGAAGUACUUCCUAAAUUAAUGUAACCGCCACUAGGGGGUGGGGGGUGGGGAGUGGGGGAGAGAAACCUACUGGCAUCCGUUGACAAUAAAUAGAAAUAUAUUUAGUUUUCAAGGUGUAAUAAGUGAAAAGUUUUUUUUGAAGAAAUGUCUUCCAUACCGGCCGAGAGAGAGAGAGAGAGAGAGAGAGAGAGAGAGCCAAACAAUCCAGACCGUCCACCAAGGCUUGGAUAACUAGCAAAUCAUGUGAUGUGGCAAGAGCAAGAGAGCCCCACUUCAGGGGGGAGAGAGAAGAGAGAGAGAGAUCCAAACGAAUCCAGACCGUCUACCAAGGCAUGGAUAGGUAGCCAUGCAUGUGGCAAGAGCAAGAGAGCCCCACUUUAGGUGGAUAUUUUACGUACGAGCUUGUGAUAGAGAAGAGCCACAAAUUAAAGCCAGAAAGAGAGUUUUGGGACAUCCAACGCUUAUAUAAGCCCCCCUAUCACCAUGCAUACCCAACGCAACACCCCUUACCUCAUAAUCUUCCUUCAUCCUCGCAUUUUCUUCAAAAUACCCAAAAUACCCCUCAACAUGGCUAACCAGGAACAGCACCGCCUCGGCCUCUUCAACCAGGACAGAGAAGAAGACAAAUCCUCAUCCUUCUCUCAGCCCGGUUAUGGAGAUCAAGGCCGCACUGGUGGUGGUUACGGCGACAGCACUGGCUAUGGCGACUCCACUGGUUACUCUUCUCAAGGACGUGCCGGUGGUGGUGGCGGCGGCUAUGGCGACAACACGGAUUACUCCGGUGAAGGACGCCGUACUGGCGGAGGAGGCUACGGCGGCAGCACUGAUUACUCUGGUGGUGAAGAGCGUCGUGCUAGUGGCGGCGGUGGCUAUGGCGACAGUUACUCUGGUGAAGGACGUCGUACCGGCGGCGGCGGCUAUGGAGACAGCACUGAUUACUCUGGUGAAGGACGUCGUACCGGUGGGGGCGGCGGUGGAUACGGAGACAGUUACUCUAGUGAGAGACGUACUCAAAAUGUCGGUGGCGACGGAGACAGUUACUCGGAAGAAGGACACGGGGGCCGUGGCGAGACCACUGCUUACUCUUCUGAUGGGCCCCGCGGCGGACAGCACAGUGAGACGUCUGAAACCUAUGGGUCUCGUGACUCUGGAGACUACAAGAAGCAGGAGAAGCACCACAAACAUCUCGAGGAACUUGGGGAGCUAGGUUCUGCUGCUGCCGGCACUUAUGCAUUGGUAGAUUAAUGUUUCAACCCUAUUUUUCUGAUUUAAUUUAUUAUUUUAAUUAGGCAUACUAAUUGUGGAUUUAUGAUCAUUCUCAAAGGCAUAUUAGUGCGCAUGAUUUGUGAUCUUAUUGACAAAAUAUAUAAUUGCCAAUCCUACUUUGCGUUCACAUAAGUAUAAUGAUUAUGUAAUUUCCAUUUUUUUUUCAAACACUAUUGAAAAUAUAAAAGGAGAAACUUUGACCAUAAAGUUGUUUUUUUUUUUUUUCGGCAGUAUGAGAAGCACGAGGCAAAGAAAGACCCAGAGCAUGCUCGCAGGCACAGGAUAGAGGAGGAGAUUGGGGCAACGGGGGCAGUUGGUUCGGGUGGGUAUGCCUUCCACGAGCAUCAUGAGGAGAAAGAGUCAGAGAGAGAAGAGGAAGAGUCUCAUGGAAAGAAGCACCACCACCUCUUCUAAAUAAUCUAAAUUAAUCAAUAUCGAUCUUUAUUGAUUACCUAUUUAAGUGGUUAAUUAUUUGUGUGCAUCCCUUCAAUUAUUUGUGUGAUGUUUAAUUAUGAUGAAUACUCAGUAUUUUGUUUCUGAGAAUUGAUGCAUGUUGAGUGUAUAAGUAAGACUCUUUGUUUAAAGGGUCAGUAUAUAUCCUGUUUUCUUUUAGCAUGUCAUGUAUUUAAUUGUUAAUCGUUUACUCGGUGUAACUUUUACAUAAUUUUUUAGUGGUAUUAAUUUUUUUUUUAUUUUUUUGUACAAGCAAUAUUGAGCGAGCGGGAAAUCAAACCUAGGACCCAUACAGGGAUAAUUACUCUUAACUACUUAAGUUAUAAACCUCUUGUGUAUAUAUCUUAGCCAGACUUAAUUAACAACUCUAUAUAUGGAUAAGAAUAUAGAGUUGAGAAAAUAUGCAGAGGAAAAUCAUAUCAUUGAUUUUUUGUUGAAUCCCCUUUACCUUGUUGUAACUAAGUGAAAAAUAUGGUGCUUUGCAUAUAGAAUUCGAUAGAAACUGAUUAUUCUAAUCAUUCCGUCUUAAAUAGUAAUACAUUCAUAAAGGUGAGACCAAUUAAGCCAUUAAAACACUGCGACUGAUUCAUGCUAAAACAUAAUUAAGAUCAUGAACAAAAUAGACCCUACUAGUUAAGUAACGAACGUGGCUAGAGACCCCAUAUGUGUUACAUUUAUUGAUUGAAGAUCUCAAAUUCUUCAAGGGACCAACUUCUUCCAACCAGGAACAACUUUUACAUUAGUAGGAUCAUGACGGCGGGGAUUUAACAUGAUCGGCUUCAUCGCAAUAACCCUUGAGUACAUCAGUCUCUUCUACGGUAAACCCUAGCGUGCCAAGCAAGGCAGGCCUACACUGAUGCUCAAUGGUCCGAAUGGCUUCACAGCAACUGUGACCCAAGUAAGUCUCACCAUUAAGAAAAAACAUGACAACCUCACUAGAACAUGACUGGAGCUGAAACAAAGAGUCCCAGCAGUUAGAAGAUUCUUCAUCCAAAUUCAACCAGGCUACAAGGUUCGAGUUUGACCGAAUUAUGUUAGGAUUCAAAGGGCGAGCACUUGUGGCUAAGAAUGGCAUAGUCAAGGCUAGAAGAGCUGUAAGAAGGAAGAGCUUGAAAGUUGUGUAAGCUGCCAUUUUGAUUUUGUGGAUGAGUGAGGUGAUUGUGUUAUAAAAUGGAAGAAAAGAAAAAAACACAGAAAACCGUUACGUGCAUUGGGUGGUGAAGAGGCUGCUGAGAGUAACUCAUAAUGACAAUAAUCAUGUGAUACUUAACAGCAGGAGAAGUUGAUGGGACUCAACUCAUCAACUGAUGAUGCAUAUAACAAAAUUUGUGGGAAUUAAAAUAAUUAAACGUAAUUCCCAACCACAGACGAAUUAAUGGAUAAUUUAUAGUCUUUGUGAUGGUUGGUUUGCUUGCUAGUGUUGGUUUUGUUUGCUCAUGGUCAAAAGGAUUGACCAUUCGUUUGCUUAUCGAAAGUUGGUUAGCGUAUUCACUAUUCGUGCUCAUUCCAAAAGAUUGAUUGAUUGACCAUAAUUGGAUGAUUAAAUUCAUGUUUGCUUUACAUUUUAAUUUCAAAUUUGUUCUCAAAUUGACAAAGGUGAUUUCAACCUAUUGUAAUGUAAGGUAAGGGAGGGUUUGAACUCGGGUACAAGAAGCAAACACACUACAUUGACCAACUCGCCUUUACCACAUUUGCAAUUUUAAUUUUCUAUUAGAUUUUUAGUUCUUGGACUCCAAACUAUGCUUCAACUCUCAUUGGAAUUUGCUUAGAGCUAGACAAAUUAAUAAUUUUGUGAUUUGUUGAUUAGCUAGAUACUUGAGUUGGCUUCAUUUUGGGCUUCAUUUGAUCCCAUUCGGCCUUCGGUUGAUGGCUCUUGGAUGUUUGUUUGAACAUAUCUAUGGCAUAGAAUACAUCUAAUUGUAGUUCCAAAAUGUCUCAAAAUAAAAAUCGAAAGAAAAUAAUAGCUCCAAAAUUAUUGCCUCUCAAAUGAUUUCUCUAGCGUGAAAAUGUUGUCAUCAAGACAGACUACUGUGUGAAUAUUAAUAUGAAGACUACAUUCUCUGCUUUUGUGGAACUGUGAGUACAUUUUGACUAGAUUGACAACUUCUCAUUCAUAAAUCACCAAUCUCCAAAUAAAAAGUUACUAUAGUUUUAUUCAAAAUAGAACUAGUUCUGCCAAAUUCUGCUCAACAUAUUCUGAUGUUAAUGAACCUCUCAGAAUUCCUGUCGGUUGAACAAUUUAAAACUGAGAGAUGCUAAAUAAGAGAAGACUGCAUAAGUGAAAGAGAUUGUAUAAACUAUCAAAGAGAUGAUCAAUGAAGCAGACAGGGGAGGAGUUCCGACAAAGCAAUUGGUCGGUUUUAUAUUGAUUCAAUGCAAAUGUUUACGGGUUUGAUUGAGAAUUCUUGUUGUCUUAUUCCAUCCUGCACAAAAUAGAAUAGAGCAGUUUAAAUAGUCACAUAAGUUGUGUCAAUAAGAACCAGGUAGGUGAUCCUGAGGUGCAAGUUUCAUGCGAACCUGACCAAUAAGUACAUGGAUACUUUCGAUCAGUUCAAGUUGCACAUUAGCAGUGUGCCCAGUACCGGCCAUGGCAUCAGGAACCCAAAUUUCAGUUGACUACAGGACACAGUUGGCUGGCUUCAACAGCAGUAGUCUUGUUAUUAUGCACUUGAAUGCAGAAACAAACAAAAAAAUCAGUAUGUCCUGUUUAUUUGCAUCAUAAAUCUUGCAUAUAGUUUUGCAAUGGAAAAAAAAAAAAAAAAAGUAGCAAGGUAAAUUGUUCUCCUCUCCUAGCUAAUAUCAUUGAAAUUUGUUGGAAGACAUAAUUGCUGGAAGACAUAAUUGUUGGAAGAUAUAUCAUUGAAACAUACAAAACAAACAACCAUUCACUCUAUCUUAAGAUAGAUGAGAUCAUGGAAGACAUAUACGUGUUUGCUAUGAUUUGCAGUACGUUAACAGAUACUUUGCUCAAGUGCUAUAAAAUGUGCAGCAACAUGACAAAUGUACAUGAGAGAGAGAGAGAGAGAGAGAGAGAGUGCAAAGGAAUUAUCAUCAAAGAUAUGAAUCUAAUGAUAAGUGUAUGGCUAGAAAAGGAAAUGGCAUAGUCAAGGCUAGAAAAGCUGUGAGAAGGAAGAGUUUGAAAGUUGUGUAAGCUGCCAUUUUGAUUUUGAUUAUUGUGGAUGAGUAAGAGAUUGAUACGAAUAAAGGGUUUUAUAUAGAUGGUGAGGUGAUUGUGUUAUAAAAUGAAAAAUAAAAAACGUUACGUGCAUUGGGUGGUGAAGAGGUUGCUGAGAAUAACUCAUGUGAUUAUUUAACGGCAGGAGAAAAGGAAUUAUCAUCAAAGAAACAAGUGAUGAAUCUAAUGAUAAAUGUCUAGCUAGAAAAGAAAAUUCAGGGAGACAGAUGGUGGUGACUUACUAAAGUAUUGAGGUGCAGAUAUUUGAGGAGGAGGAGUUUUUAGCAAAAUUUUAGUUCCUCUUUUAAGAAUAACAGUUUUUAUUAAACUUUUCAACAAUAGCGACAAAUAAGAGGGGCAAGACCUAAGUAGCAAAUCAAAAAUCCUAUGCACCCCCUGCUGUAGUUGAAAAUUUUCAUAAAAAGUGAGUUGUUAAAAAGAGGGAGGAAAUCUUUACAAGUUGAGAGAAAUUCAGAAAUGCUCCUAAAACAAAACAAGGAAUAGAGCCAAAUAAAAAAACAGUGGGAGAACCAAAUGAAGGAGCAAUAGGUGAAAAACAAAACUUAGGGCAAUAUACGGCCAAAAGAAUGAAGCACAAGCAAGCGAGAAACAACAUCAUUGAAAUACAUCAAAUCCCAAAAAAAUGAAAACUAGAAUCAGCGAAAGAAGCAACUCACAUUGAAAUACAGCAGCUGUGAUGCCUCUUGCUUUGAAAGUGAGGAAUCAUAGGUUAGCCCCAAUCACAUCGAUCUUUUUUCUUUUUCUGGGCCGAGCUUCAUCAACAACCUCAUUUUAAUUCAUCUUGGUCUGCCUCUUCGGAAAGAGCAUAGGUAUUGCAGAAGAGAGAUUUUUGGUGAGAGCUACCACUUCCACUAGGACCAGCGUCCUUGUCAUUGUGGCGUUGUUGACCUUGUGCAUCAGCUGAUUUGGUAGGACAAGUAGUAGUGCUCUUGAUGAUGGAUUUGUUCAUCAUGAUCUGGUUGAGUUGUUCCACAUCUUGCUUGUGCACCAAACGAAACCCACACUUCUUCACAUUUUUGUCGUAUACGUACCGGUUUUUGUCUUGACAAAAAUAUUCAGUUUCGAAGAAAACCUUUAUCUGACUGCAUAUCUUCUGAAGUGGUUUACAAGGUAAAUAAAUUACCCAAAGGUGAUCUGACACAACAUCGCCUGUUUUAAAAAGUUUUGGAAGUACUUCAUAUGACACAACAUUGCCUGUUCCUUCUGCGAAACAGCUAAUACGAAACAAACUAAAAUCAGAAAGAUCAGCCUGAAAUUCAACCACAGCACAUAAAGCAAUUCCCAUCCACGUGGUACAUGAAUCCAGAGGUAGCUCCACAAUUAGGGAAUCUCCCAAACUUUGAUUACUAAACCACUCUGGAAUUUUCCUUCGAGGAGUUACAAUUUCGAAUUGGUAGUCAAAAGGCGUAGGGAUUACCUGUACCAUAUACAUAGAUAUUUAUGAGGUUAGCAAGUUGUAAUUAUUAUUAUAGCAAACAACAAAAGAGAGACAGACAGAGAGAGAGAACCUAAAGGUAUCGCUGUAGCAUUUUCAGUAUUAUACUAUCGCAGCCUUCAUUGUCAACCAAUACAAAGCAAUUGGCACAAUUAAACUGAAGAUAACCUCUUUUGUUAUCCACUAAUGACCAAUUUGACGAAAGAUGUGGUAACAUUUUUAAGGAAGUGCAAUUGGCUAUGUUUAUAUCCACCAAUGAGAUCAGCUUAGAAAGAUCUGGCAAUUGUUCAAGACUUUGGCACCCAUUCAUCCAAAAUAACUUAAGCUUAGAAAGACAUCCAAUGCUUGCAGGAAGGCUAACAAAAUUGUUUCCACUAAGCUUUAAUUCUUCUAAAGCGGGCAAGUAGCCAAUAUCGUUGGGAAGAUCCCCUUCACAAACAUCACAAUUACUCAGAUCCAAUUCCCUCAAAGAAAAUAAACCAUCUAGCGAAGCCAACACAAAGGCCUUUCUUCCAUUUAAGCGGGGGAGGCCCCACCAAAACCUUGAAGGCUGUGAUCCACUUUUUCCACCCAAAGUUAGAUCCCUUAGUUUUUUCAAACCAACAAUGGAGUGUGGCAGCUGUCUUAUAGAAGUUUCACACAAUUGAAGCUUUAUAAGAGACUCCAUCUCCCCCACGUUCUCUGGGAGUUUGUCCAUUUUUGAGCAUCCACGCAUCCAAAGCAAUUCAAGAGACUUCAAAUUACAAAUUUCACUAGGAAGACCCGCAAGAUUUUUGCAAUUCAAUAGACGCAGACUAGUAAGGCCAACCAGACAUCCUAUUGAUGCAGAUAAUUUCAAAAUGGAAGUCCUACUUAAACAAAGCCAUGAUAAAUUUUUCAUUUGCCCUGAAAAUUCUGGAAUCUUUUUCAAUUUUAAGCAAAAACCAAGAUCCAAGCGUUUAAGACAUUUGAGAUUUGCAAUUGACGGGUGAAUCUCAACCAAAUUCUUACAACUUCCAAAAUCCAACUCCUCAAGAUUCUGAACACCAGAGAAAUUUGGGGUUGUGGUCAAGUUUUUAGAGUAACUAAGGUCCAUCGUUUUCAAGUUGGGCAAGUCCUGUACAAUUCAUAACAAUGGUAGAAUAGAUAAUUAGCUCAGAUUUAUUUUAAUUUUUGAAACAAAAUAUUUAAAAUAAAUAAAAAAAACUAAUUUCUAGAAUGGCAUAUGGUCAUUACUCUUACCUUUCGUCCAUCCCAAAGCCGAAGAAGUUUGCUCUCACGCAUCACAAGCGCAACAAGGAAAUUCAGUUGAAAACUUGAUGGGAGAAAUUUGGAAGGAUACUGACUCCAUUUGAUAAUUCUCAAGGAAUUAGGAAGAAUUUUGGGGCUUGAAGAAAUGAUCACAUUGUCAAAUUCAAGAACUUUCAGGUUACACAUCUUAGAGAAGGCUUCACAAUUCCAAUCUGCCAUUUCAAGUCUCGCCAUGCGUAAGGCAAUGCCUUUAAUUUUGUUUGUUGCCUGUAAUUAAGAAUAGUAAAGGAAAAUUUAAUUGCACAUUUAAGUCAAAUUUCAAGAUAAAAAUAAAUCAUAUUUCUUUCAAAACUUGGUAUUUUCUACAUAAUUCUUACCGUAUUGUUUAUGAAUACAUGAGAGAUAUCUUCACGAUUGCACAAUCGACUUCGUCUACCAGGCUCUUCAAAACACUCCCGACGAACAAUUUCCAAUGCCAUUUCUUGUAUCAAAUCAUGCAUCUCAACAUUGUUGUUUGAAAUAUCAAUAGUUAAGAGGGAUUUCUGAACGAGAGCAUCUAUCCCAAUACGACCGCAUUGGCCACAAAUGUCUAGUAUUUCAAUUACAUGCUCCUUGAACUUCCCCUUAUGAAAAAAUGCAACAUCAAGAAAUAUAUCCUUGUUCAUCUCAUCCAGUCCAUCGUAACUUAUUUUAAGCAAAUCAAUAAUUUCUGACUUGGAAAUUUUCCGCAGCUUAUCCAAUUCACUUUUCCAUUCAUCUGGAUCUCUCUGAUACAAUAAGCAUCCCAAAAGUUUAAGAGCUAGUGGAAGCCCUUUGGCAUAAUUUACAAAACCCUUUGACAAUUCCAAAUAACCUUCCUCCGGCUCAUUUUUUUUAAAGGCAUUCCGACUAAAGAGCUCAAGAGCAUCAUCAUCACCUAACCCCUCUACCUUACAUGAUAUAUCAUGAUUAACUAGCAACCGUUUAUCUCUAGUUGUAAUAAUGAUUAAACUCCCCUUACCAAACCAAUCCUUUUCACCAGCCAACUUUUCAAGUUGGGUUGAUUCACUCACAUCAUCAAGAAUGAGAAGAACCUUUUUAUUAUACAAGCAAUUCUUAAUGACAGAGGUUCCCCGCUGUUCAUCCCAAACUUGAGUAAUUGAUCCUUAAGAUUGGGGAAAGAAGUUGUCUUUGUAGAUCAACAAGAUUACCACGUUGAGAAACCUCUCUAACAUUAGCAAGAAAGCUGCUAACUUCAAAAUGGGUAGAAAUGCUAUCAUAAACUAGCUGAGCAAUGGUUGUUUUGCCAAUUCCGCCCAUCCCCCAUAUCCCUAUAAAGCGAACAUCAUCCGUGGGAUGAGCUAAAACCAAAUCUACUUGCUCACGUAUAAACUUCAUUCCCACUAACUCUGUGGAAUCUAACAAUUUGAAUCUGUGAUGCACUUUCUCCCACACCCAUUCAACAAUAUAUUCAAUAAGCUUUCUUUCACACCUACAAAGAGGAAAAGUAAAACGAUCGUGAAGUCUAAAAUAAGAAGAUACGAUGGCUUACGAUCAAAUGGCAUACGAAAAAACUUGCUCAUUCUUUGAAUCAAACCCAGAUAAAUUGGCCACUUCAGUUAAAGCAGUUCUCCAGCUCUUCACCCUUUCUCUGUCUUCCCUAAACCUUUCCUCAUGCUCAGCGAACGCGCAAGCAAAACUACCGGUUUGUUUUCGUACGUCAGAAGGAUCCACAUGAUAAAACACUGGCAGAACGGCGCUCUUGGAUUUCAUGCAUUGGAGAAUCUCUGUAAGCUCAUCCAAGCACCAGGUAGAAGAAGCAUAUUUUGGCGAGAGAACAACGAUUGCAAGCCUCGAUUCUUGGAUUGCGUUGAAGAGCCCCGAAGAAAUAGCUGUCCCUCUUUCAAGCUUAGGAUCGUCCUUGAAUGUUUUAAUACCCCUGAGCUGCAAUUCGUGGUAUAAAUGCGAUACAAAGCUAAGUCGAGUGUCCUCACCCCUGAAACUCAAAAACACAUCGUAGUUCGGUGAAGGAAGAAAGGCAGAGUCUCUUUGGGUGGUCAAUGCCAUUUGGCAAUCUGCUGCUGCUGUAAACACUCAAUGAAAAUAAGCCUUUCGCUAAUUAAAUCUUCAAAAAUCCAAACACUCAACUAAUAAAUAGAAAGAUGAUUAUAAAUGGCUUGCAAAAAGAAAAGGAUUAAAAUUUAAAGAGGUCUUUUUUGGGUAAUAUAGUAAACCAGAGGAAAACAGAGGAAUUCAACCUAUAAACAUUAGAAGGAACAAAAAUACGAAUUUCAACAUUUAAAACAAAAAUAUAAGCCACAUGACUACACAAGUGAACUAAAAAUUGCAUAUGCUUUAGUUAAUGUUACCUGAACAAAACAGAUAUGGAAAUGUGGUUCGUAAGACAACAACCAAAAGACCAGCAAACCAACCGGAAACUCACAAUAAAUACUUCUUCUCAAGAUCAGCCAAAAAACCAGCAACAAGAAGCAAAGCUAACAGUCAGAGAGAGAGAGAGAGUUGCAAAAACCUUGUAGUGGCGAGCACGUUUUCUGUUGUCAGCUAUCUCCAAGUCCAACGUCCAAUUGAAGUCCAAGUCUUCGGUCAAUGAGUGAUUUCUUUUGAAAAGGAAGGAGGGCAUUUCAUUUUCGGACAAGUUCUUUUGCCUUUUAUUUUAUUUUAUUGUCAAUUAUUUGAGUGGUUGCAUAGUUUUAUUUUGGUCAAGUUUAAAAAAUAGCUUUGAUCUAAACAAUGAAUGAUUAAAUAAAAGAAUGUUGUUUGGCUCAUUCCGUAAAACGAGAGUGGCGAGCACGUUUUCUGUUGUCAGCUAUCUCCAAGUCCAACGUCCAACGGAAGUCCAAGUCUUCGGUCAAUGAGUGAUUUCUUUUGAAGAGGAAGGAGGGGUUUUCAUUGGGAAAUAACUCAAAAUACCAUCUACGAGGUACUGUUCAUCUUCCCUUUUUUAGAAAUUUGGGGUUUUUGUGAAUUUGGUUUAUGGUGUAUGGAUUUGUAUGAAAUUGGUUUAUGGGUUUCUUCCAAAUUGGUUUAGGGUUUUAGGGUUUAGAUGUUGCUCUGAAAUUGUUUUGGGUUUAUGGGUUUGUAUGAAAUUGGUUUAGUGGUUUCUCUAGAGUCUAGGGUUUGGAAUUGAUGAGGUAUCUGAUAUGGGCUUCAGAUUACCCUAAUUUGUUUUUCUUUAUUGUGAUUGUGAUUUUAGGUAAGGAUUGGGUGAUGGAUUUUUAUUUUGGGUCAUCUGAUAUGGUUUUGAGAUUGAUUUCAUAUGUAAGAUUUUGGUUAGUGUUAAAGUAAAUAAAUGGGUAUUUCAUUCCUGCUAGCUAAGAAUUGGAUGAUGGGUUUUUGUUUUGGGUUAGCUGAUAUGGUUUUGAGAUUGGUUUCAUAUCUAUGAUUUUGGUUUUGAGAUUGGUUUCAUAUCUAUAAUUUUGGUUAGUGUUAAAGUAAAUAAAUGGGUAUGUCAUUCCUGCUAGCUAAGGAUUGGGUGAUAGGUUUUUGUUUUGGGUCAGCUGAUAUAUAUGGUUUUGAGAUUGGUUUUCAUAUCUAUGAUUUUGGUUAGUGUUAAAGUAAAUAAAUGGGUAUUUCAAAUGGCAUAACAAACUUCAAAUGCGGGCUAUGGAUGAUGUUGAAGGGGUUCUUACUUCUUUGCAUUUCCUUGCACAAAAUCAUGAAUUCAUGAAAAGGAGUACAGAGCAGAUGGCACUAUACAAUUGGGCUGUGUGUGCACUGAGAGAAUAUGGCUAAAAGUUAAAAUUGUGAACUUUUUACUAUUUUCCAAAAAAGCUCCUAGUGAAGUGCAUGACCUCGGCUGAAAAAUGGCAUAAAAAACUUCAAAUGCAGAGCAAUAGGAUCCUUAAAUACACAACUUUGCAUAGCAAAAUGUUCUUUUAGAUAUAAAAAAAGCUCGUUUGAAUACAACAGUGGGGUAAUAUGCUCUUUGAAUACAAUGAUAUAAUAAUAGGCUCUUGAUAAGUGCUGAUUUUGUUUUGUUUUGUUUUUUAUUUUUUUUAAAUAUGUGAGCUUAAUUAUGAAUUUGAAUGCAAUAUUUUUGAACAAUUGAUUUAUAAUAGAAAAACGACAUGCAUACAUCCUGAACGACGACUCUUUUAUCAUAGGAUAUUGGUAUUGCUAGUAGCUAGUUAUUAGUAUUUGUGUCCAAGAAGACCCCAUUGUGAGCACAACUUUGACAAAGUGGUUAUAAAGAUAACAGGUGCUAAGAAAUUAGAUAUUCUGAUUUGUUCAAUUACAUUGCACCAUCUUAUUAUAGUUACAGCUAACUUGAACUGGCUUACUGAACAGUUGUAACUGAUAAAAGAGUUAUAUCCAGCACUAUUUAUUUGGAUAUGACAAUUUUCUAACUAGAUUUGAGCCGUUGAAUAAGUAGGUCAGUUGUAAAUAGCUGGGUUUUGUUUAUGCUCUGUAUUUUUUGUUUAUUUUUCACUUAAUAUCCUAUAAUAGGUUGUUGAUAAGUGCUGAUUGUUUAUUGCUUGUUAUUGUCUAGAUUGCAACAGACUAAAAUUAUUUUUAUAAUAUUGGCGUGCAAGGAAACAUGAUUUCUUCAAUUAAGUUGAUGAUUGCAGAGGAAGAAAAGUUCCAGGGAAAAGCAUUGUCCCUAUCUCAUAUAAAGACUGCAAUCAGUACCAUAAAGGAGAAAUUCAGUCAGCAACAGCUACGAAGGUUUGAAGAGAGUUGUUUUGGUCAUCUCCUACUGAUUGAGGACUUGAAGUGGACUUCGCCAAUUGUCCACGGCUUGUUGCUGAGGAAGGCUGAUUCGAAGACAGUUUCCCAAGUAAACGAGAUCAAAUUCAUCGUUUGCAAUAGGGUGAUCCAAUUCACGGCGCAGCAAUUUUGCGUCGUCACAGGGCUAAGGUUUGGAAACCUUCCCUUUAUUCCGAUUGCCACUAAUGAGAACUGCUCUUUGAAAAGGAAGUACUUUGGCAACGAUAAAAAUGUCAACCUUUUGGAAUUAGAAAAAGCCUUUCUCGACUGCGCUGAUGUGGACGAUGUAUUGAAGUUUGGAUUUGUAUACUUUGCUGUUUUUGUGCUGUUGGGCAGUGAAAAACACAUUCACAUUGACAUGCGAUAUUUGAAGUUGGCGGAAAAGAUUGAAGAGUUCGUGAAGUAUCCAUAGGGUGUUGUGUCUUAUGCCAAGACAAAUGUGUCACUUCUGAGGGCACUUUGUGCAGAUUACCAGCGAGUGAAAGUAGGGGUGGGCGCGGUCCGGUUUGCAGCUCACACCGUAACUUUAAGGACCCGCCCCGAAUUUUCUCAAAACCCGAGACGAACUCUUUGGAAAUCCUGACAUCACCCCGAUGCCAGGCCCACUUACUAAAAACCGAGACUUCCUGCCGAAAUUUCGGCAGAGUCUCCCCUAUAAAUUGGACAUUUCCCAAAAUUUCAACCUGCAUAAAAGCACAUUUAAUAUUCCCAACUGGCAGCAUGCACAAUAUAAUUUCAUGCAGUUCACAUAAAUUGGCCUUCGGCCUUCCAAAAAUUCUCAACAGACAACCAAACCAUCCAAAUACAAUUUAUGACUAACAUUUAGUCUGCGGCUGCACCUAAUAACCUUAGGCUGCCUACGUACCCUCCUUGAGGGAUCAAGCCACACGUAGUUCUUCCCUAAAACCCAAUUCCACACUUGGGCGAUACCUUAUUUCAUUUCUCUGGAUUUCAUAUAAUCUCCCCAUACGCCGGUACAACCAACGCCACGUAUGGGGCCUGUCAACACGCCGGAUAACCUACGCCACGUGCGACCAUGCCAUAUUAUCAUCAUAUCUCCCCAUACGCCGGUACAACCAACGCCACGUAUGGGGUCUGUCUCAACGCCGGAUAACCUACGCCACGUGAGACCUGCACAUCAUAUCACAUAACUCCUCAUACGCCGGUACAACCAACGCCACGUAUGGGACCUGUCCCAACGCCGGAUAACCUACGCCACGCGGGACCUCAACAUCAUAUCACAAAUCUCUCCAUACGCCGGUACAACCAACGCCACGUAUGGGGUCUGUCGACACGCCGGAUAACCUACGCCACGUGCGACCUCAACACAAUAUCACAAUAGCUCCCCAUACGCCGGUACAACAAACGCCACGUAUGGGACCUGUCUCAACGCCGGAUAACCUACGCCACGUGAGACCUGAACAUCACAUUGCAAAUCUCCCCAUACGCCGGUACAACCAACGCCACGUAUGGGGUCUGUCCCAACGCCGGAUAACCUACGCCACGCGGGACCUAACUUUCACUUGGUGGUGCUUGUAGUGAAUCCAAAAUCCGGGGAGGUACCUAAAGUAGUGCGUAUAGCACUCCAAACUGACAUUCUAGACUCUGUUGUACCCUGGUACAACCAUAUAUAAUUAUAACUACAUCAAUUAAUCCUAAUAUUGUGUAACCCUCCACAAUCAUCUAGCACCCGAU
rnacentral:lncRNA from 1 species